rnacentral:lncRNA from 1 species
AAUGGAAGUAGUAGGAAAUAAACAUUAGCAACAAACAUGUGCUCAUUAAGUCCAGAAAGAAGAACAUGCAAGCUUGUUCAGACAUAUUUACAUACCAUUGUAAAACCUGUAAUGUGCUCACCCCACAUAAAUGUAAAUGGCAUUGCCAGUCCACAUAUUCGCCAAAUGUUUUAUGGUGUGGCUACAUAUACAUUGUUUGUUAUUACUACUCUUUAACCUAGGAAUCGAUGUGUAGUUAAGCUACUCAUGUGGAAGUCAGAAGUGCAGCUCUGGAAGGAUUUCGAAGGGGGAAAUGUUCAAAUUGUUUUUUGAGUCGGGCUAAACACAGCUCAUCUGGUAAUGUUUAUGAAGUACAAGACCUCAAAUCUGAAGUUAUUAUCUUACUAUGCAAAUUGACGGCAAAAUUAUUUGUUCAAUGAAUAGCUCAUUUGACCUAUCAAUUAUUACAGGACUAUAUUUUUUGUUCUCACAAAUUUCAUUUCAAUGCACAUAACAAAUGGAAGCAGAUUACAAUAACAUCCAUUGGAAUGAUAAUAUGCUAAUACCAUGUCUACUGCAUUGUUUUCUAAAAAAAAUAUGCAUGUAGACAGCACAAGUUCCCAAUUUCAGCCAGUGGGUUUAGCACAUGAAAAGCAACACUAUCGUACUCUACGGUAUGCACAUGAAAAGCAACACUAAAACCAAGUGUAACUUGUUAACACUGCUAUCUUAGGACACACCUUACAACAGAGAACUUUCCUAGUUUUGCAAAAGAUAUUUUUAGCAAAAACUCUCUUGCCUGCAUCAAAUACAAUUUUCAUGAAGAGGGACCUGCCUUGUUCAAUCUUUUAUGAUGUUACUGUAAUACAUGUCAAUAAAAGAAACAUAAAAGGCUCAAGAGACAUAAAUUAUGUACUAAUACUCUACCAGUUUAAUUACCUUAACUCAUUAUCCACACAUGUGCACUAAACAUACUCCAUCCCAAAAGAAGUGACGUGGUUUUAGUUCAAAUUUGAACUAAAACCACGCAACUUCUUUUGGGUCAGACGGGGUACAUGUACUCUUGUCAAUAUUAUUAUCAACCAUGCCCAAAUAAAACACUACGUGAAAUUUGAAAUUCAUAGCGGUAACAAAAACGUGAAAACACUAGUUGCUGCACAUGAUGAAACUACUACAAAGAGGCACUUUGGAAACCUGAAAAAUACAUGAAAAUAUUAAUUGCAGAGCUGCAUGUGCUUGUUGGCACAUAAAACCGCUUUAUAAUGUGGGAGAUUUGCUUACAUUAUGACAGUGAAUUAUCAACACAUGGAAAGUAAGAGAUAAUACAUGCUACUCAAUGAUGAGAGAGAGAGAGAGAGAGAGAGCAACUAGCAAUUGUGUCAUCGUUAAAAGAGAAGUCCCAAUGAAGAAAAGGCAAAAACUCCAUUCCAACACAUACUAACAUAAGCUGGUGGAACUAGAACAAUCACAAACUCACAAUAUGAAGUUUACCAGCUCAAUAUAAGUAUUUGAAUCAGAACAGAAAAUAAAUUUAAAUUUUGAGUAGCCUAUGGGUCAAAAAUAACUAAUUGAGCAAACACUUAGGCCAUGUACAAUGGUUGAUAAGAUAGUGUUAUCUUAAGUCUUGCGUGUAAUUUAGAGAUGAAAAAAAAAUGUCUACAAUGGGUCAUCUCUUAGCCUUAUCUUCAAUAACUAGCUAUUCCUAUAAACAUGGUGAGACAUAUUGUGCUAAGAGAUCAUCGCUUGUCUUCUCUUAAAUAAGAGAAGGCAAACCUUUUUUUAUGAGUUCUCUCCUCCACCUCAUCAUUUAUCCUAUGUGGCACUCCAAAGAUAGCACCAUUGUACAUGCCCUUAUCUACUGUUUCAAACACAUAGAAUUGGUUUCUGUUAUAAUUAUCAGACAAGUAACAGAAUAAUAUCCUGCAAAUUAGAGUUCUGCAAUAAAUCUAGGUAACAUAAGCAAUAGGCAAAGGAUGAUGUAAGGUUGUUAAUCUGCUACAUACUCUCCAAAUCGACAGGUAACUAUUACACAAAGGUUAAAUACGACCAAAAAUCAUUCAAGGAUGAAAUCAGUAAGAAUAAGGGCUAGUGUGAAGGUGAAAUAUAUGAUAACUACCUGAAAAAUGUUGAAUCAGCCUCGGUUGCAACAGCUUUAGCCAAAUAAGACUUUCCUGUUCCUGGUGGACCAUACAGAAGAAAAGCCCUCCAUGGCCUCCGCUUGCCUGAAGAAAAGCAAAAUCCAUGAGUUGCAAAUCAGAAGUUACCUAAAGAAAAGAAAAUCACUAUCCAGUAUAUGCUAGUUAAUAACUAGCUAAGGACACCAAACCUAUAACUGAUAACAGUUGUGACAGUAUUUCAAAACUGUGCUGAUUUUCAAAUCACAUAACCAUAGGAUGCUGAAUGCACAAGGCACACAAAAAGGUAGGAAGUGAACCUAACCUUUACUGUACCAUGUUAGAUAAUCGAAGACCCAUACCAAGCAGUCCAGAUCUUGAUCUAUCUACAAUCUGAUGCAUUUUUUUCUUUUUUAUAACCUAGCUGUACUGUAAGGAUUGGAACCAAUGUUUCAAUGGCUCUGGUUUGACAUUUUCUAUUCCCCUUGGUUUGAUAACCAUCUUCUGAUUCACACUGCCAUGAUUACUAAUUUUUUACUAAAUUUUUGGCUCUACUCAUCUCUUACAAGAGCGAGGUGAUUACAAGUUUAGCUUAGCAAGGUUUUUUGUGAGGAUUGAAGAGUCAACAAAGUUCCUGAAUAUAAUUUGCUAGACAUCCCCGCGACAAACCAAUUAAGUUUGUUCAACUAAGUAGUCCAUAUCUUGAUCUAUCUAUAACCUGCUACAUUUACCAAGCUGUACUGUAAGAAACCAAUGUUUCUAUGGCUCUAUGGUUGAAAUGACUCUUUUUUUAUUCCCCUUGGUUUGAUAAUCAUCUUUUAAUUCAGUAAUUCACACUGCCACCGUCAUUAGAAAAAAAUUGGUUCUACUCCAUACUGUUAUCUGGUACAAGAGCUAGGUACUUACAGUAUAAGUUUACAAAGGUUCUUUGCGGGGAUUGAAUAGUAAAAAAAAAGUUGCUGAAUAUAAUUUGUGAGACAUGCCUUCGCUGACCGGAUAAAUUUGUUCAAUACAGAUCUAUCUAGCAAUAAACGCUCAUAGUGGUUCGAAAUUAUGCUUUUAUCUACGGACACAAACCAGCUUGUGUAGCAUACUAUUAUCUCUUACAAGAGCGAGGUAAUUACAAGUUUAGCUUAGCAAGGUUCUUUGCGAGGAUUGAGAAGUCAACAAGGUUCCUGAACAUAAUUCGCUAGACAUUCCUGCGCUAAACCAACUAAUUUUGUCCAAUAAAGAUCUAUCAAGUAAUACGCGCUGAUGGCAGUUCAAAAUUAUGCAGACAAAAGCCAGCUUGUGUGGCAUAUUUUUACCUGGACUCCAGAACCGAAUAAUUCAUGCUCAUCCAAUCAGAUUAAAUCGAGAUCAAGAUGCAUAAAUACGAUCCACAGCAACUAAAAUCGUCUCAUCCUUGGCGAGGAACAAUUAGUGGCUUCCUUUGGAAAGGCUCACCUGUGAAGAACUGGGGGAACUUGACGGGCAAGAUGACGGCCUCCUGCAGCGCCUGCUUGGCGCUCUCGAGCCCGGCGACGUCGUUCCACUUGAUGUUGGGCUUCUCGGUGAUGAUGGCCGAGUUGAGCCCAGCCCUGAGCUUGGACUGCUCGGAGUCGUCCCCGCCGGCGCCGUCCCCUCCCGCGUCCUUGCCCUUGGUCUUGGGGCGGGUGGCGACGGCCGCGUCGCCGCCGUUGGGGGCGCCGGGGGGCCGCCGCCGCCCUCGUCGAGGACGGCCCGGAUCUCCUCGGCGCGGCGGAGGUACUCGGUGAACUUGGCGGUGAUGGCCUCCUUGAUCUUGGGGUUCUUCUCGUACUUGAGGUGGGUCUUGAAGUACUCGAGCGCGUUCAUGUAGAGCGGGAACGCCUUGACGUAGUUGCCGGCAUUGUCCUCCUGGACGGCCUGCUUCACGUACUCGAUCGCCUGCUCCUUGAAGUUGCUGUACAUCGGGGGAGAGCCGGAAAGGCGCCGCCUUUGCGGCGGAUUCCGGCGGAUCGGCGCGGGGGGCGGGCCGGGGGCGCGCGGGGCGGGGUCGGGGGCCGCGGAUUCGGCGGGGGCGGCGGCGGCGGUUGCUUGGCCCUGGGGUUUGACGAAGGAGGUGGGAAGAUGAGGAGGAGGAGGAGGAGGAGGAGAAAGAGGAACGGAGACGCGGUGCGGUGCGCUGGGGAAAAGGAGACGAAGACAACCGGGGAAGCGUGUGUUUCUUUUUCCUUUUUUUUUAAUUUGCUUCAUCUUUUAAUAUAUAUUUUUGUGCUUUUUAAUUGGAGUGAGAAAAGAAUUCCGUUACUCAAUUUGGAAUUGCUUCUUUUUUUCUCUUUCAAGAAGAUUGGCACGGUACAAGACUCGUACACCUCUUUUGAGCACCACCGAGAUACCGAGACAACACAACAUAAUCUAACUGAUAAUCGUAUAGAAAUAGUUGGUUCUUCAUGUACAAUCAAAAAUAUAAAGGUGAACAUAGUUGAAAAAUCGGUCGGGUUCGUUGAACGAUAGCCCAUGCGCAACACACUGUUUCUGCCCACCGUUGUUUUCAGUCUUAUCUCUUCGCCCAACCGCCCGUCUCUAUGCAUUUUCCUCUUUUCCCCACUGCGUCGUCACUCUUCCAGUCGUCCACCUCACUGCCGCCAUGGAGGUUGUUGAAGGAGAGAGGCGCACCUGCUGCGAGCCCAGGUAGACGACCCAGCCACAACUGUUGCAGGCCUGCAGCCCGGCCGUCGAUGCUCCAGUAAGAUGCAACGGUCGCUGCCCGCAGCACUGCUACGGGCCUGCUGUCGGUGCGGCAAGCCAAGGCGGCGAGCUGCUGCAAAGGGUGGUGACCAUUGGAGCUUCGGUGGACUUCAGGGGAGCGCCGUCGUUGCUUCCAUGGAGUUGGGCCAGUUAGUAUUGCAAUGACCUGCACAUCAGGCGGAGACGACCGCCGUAGGGAGCUCUGCUGCAGGACUCCACCAACUAUUUCAAGGACCCAACUCUCGCAGGGCGAGGAGCUGUAAUGCAUCUCGGUGGUGCUACAGCCCAAAUCUCGUCUACGGCGGAUGGUGCAUGUGAUGCUGCGACCCGGAUCUCGCCGGCGGUAGAGUUGCAAAGGAACUCGACGGCGGCUCCCAGUGCUGCUAUGCAACACUCGCCGACGCCGACGACUUGGAGUUGCGAUGCAAUGUUGUGUGUUGCAUUGGAGCGUGAUACGUCUCCAUCAUAUCUAUUUUUCCAAACUCUUUUGCCCUUGUUCUAGACUCUAAUUUGCAUGAUUUGAAUGGAACUAAUCCGAACUGACGUUGUUUUCAGCAGAAUUGCCAUGGUGUUGUUUUUGCGUAGAAAUAAAAGUUUUCGGAAUGACCUGAAAAUUUACGAAGAUUUUUUGUGGAAUAUAUAAAAAAAUACUGGCGCAAGAAUUACCUGGAGGGACGGAGCCAGGAGCCCACAAGCCCAGGAGGCGCCCCCCCCCCCUAGCCACGCCUGGCAGGCUUGUGAGGCCCUCGUGGCUCCGCCGCCUCCAACUCCAGCUCUAUAUAGUCUCUCUCGCCCAGAAAAAAUUUAAGAGAGAAGAGUUCAUCGCGUUUUACGACACGGAGCCGCCUCCACCACCUGUUCUUCCUCUGGAGGGCGGAUCUGGAGUCCGUUCUGGGCUCUGGAGAGGGGAAAUCGACGUCGUCGUCAUCACUAACCAUCCUUCAUCGCCAAUUCCAUGAUGCUCUUCACCGUUCGUGAGUAAUCUCAUCGUAGGCUUGCUGGACGGUGAUGGGUUGGAUGAGAUCUAUCAUGUAAUCGAGUUAGUUUUGAUGGGGUUUGAUCCCUAGUAUCCACUAAUGUUAUGAGAUUGAUGUUGCUACUACUUUGUUAUGCUUAAUGCUUGUCACUAGGGCCCGAGUGCCAUGAUUUCAGAUCUGAACCUAUUAUGUUUUCAUCAAUAUAUGUGUGUUCUUGAUCCUAUCUUGCAAGUUGCAGUCACCUACUAUGUGUUAUGACUCGGCAACCCCGGAGUGACAAUAGCCGGAACCACUCCCGGAGAUGACCAUAGUAUGAGGAGUUCAUGUAUUCACUAAGUGCUAAUACUUUGUUCCGGUUCUCUAUUAAAAGGAGACCUUAAUAUCCCUUAGUUUCCAUUAGGACCCCACUGCCACGGGAGGGAUGGACAAUAGAUGUCAUGCAAGUUCUUUUCCUUAAGCAUGUAUGACUAUAUACGGAAUACAUGCCUACAUUACAUUGACGAACUGGAGCUAGUUACAUAUCACCCUAUGUUGUAACUGUCACAUGAUGAAUGUCAUCCGGCAAAAUUAUCCAUCACUGAUCCAAUGCCUACGAGUCUUUUCCUAUUGGUCCUUGCUACGUUACUUCACCGCUACCGCUGUCACUGUUGCUACUGUUACCGCUACUGUUGUCACUGUUGCUACUGUUACCGUUGCUACCAUUGCUAUCACACUACUUUGCUACUGAAACUUUGCUGCAGAUACUAAGUCUUUCAGGUGUGGUUGAAUUGACAACUCAACUACUAAUACUCGAGAAUAUUCUUUGGCUUCCCCUUGUGUCGAAUCAACAAAUUUGGGUUGAAUACUCUACCCAUGAAAACUGUUGCGAUCCCCUAUACUUGUGGGUUAUCAAGACUAUUUUCUGGAGCCGUUGCCGGGGAGGCCUAGCUCUAUUCUCUGAGUCACUUGGGAUUUACGUCUAUUGAUCACUAUGAGGAAUCCGAGAGAUCCAAAAACUAAAGUCUUGCCCUCAACUACGAGGACAGGUAAGGAACUGCCAUCUAGCUUUGCACUUGAUUCACCUUCAGUUAUGAGUAAGUUUGCGACACCACCACCUACUAGAAAUUCUGAUGUGUCGCAUGUGCUUGAUGAUGCUACUUCUGCUAUCCAUGAUGCUUAUGAUGAUGCUUUGCUUGAUACUGCUUUUCCACUGGGUGCAUUCCUUGAUGCACAAAUUGCUAGAGUUGCUGCUGAAUGUGAUGAUACUUCUGAAACUGCUGAAAUUAUUGAAGUAGAACCUGUUGUUUCACCUGUUAGAACUAGCUCUCCUAGAUAUGAAUUGCCUGAUAUACCUGAGGGUUAUGUUAUGGAGGGAGAGAUAGCUGAGGACUUUCUUGCUUGUAAGGAUAGUGUCACGCCCAAGAUGCGACCCUAUCCUCAAUUUGGCACGAGGGCCUCGUCAGGGAUAGAAGCGCAUCUCGUCGUGUCGCAAGAAUGGAUAUCGCUACAAGUACAUGUACUGAAAAGAUGGGAUAUAUAAAGGGUUGGCUUACACUCGCCACAAGCUACAUCAGAGUCACAUCAGUACAUUACAUAAUCAUCAAGAGUAAGAGCAGGGUCCGACUACGGACGAAAACAAACGACAAAAGAAGAACGACGUCCAUCCUUGCUAUCCCAGGCUGCCGGCCUGGAACCCAUCCUAGAUCGAUGAAGAAGAAGAAGAAGAAGCAACUCCAAAUGAACAAUCAACGCGCUCGCAUCAAGUAACAUUUACCUGUACCUGCAACUGGUGUUGUAGUAAUCUGUGAGCCACAGGGGACUCAACAAUCUCAUUUCCAAAGGUAUCAAGACUAGCAAAGCUUAAUGGGUGAGGUAUGGUUAAGUGGUGAGGUUGCAGCAGUGACUAAGCAUAUAUUUGGUGGCUAACUUACGAGUACAAGAAAUAAGAGGGGGGAGAUCUACGCAUAACGGACGUCACUACAGAUGAUCAAAAGAAUGAUCCUGAACACCUACCUACGUCAGACAUAACCCCACCGUGUCCUCGAUCGGAGAAGGAACUCACGAAAGAGACAGUCACGGUUACGCACACAGUUGGCAUGUUUUUAAUUAAGUUAACUUCAAGUUAUCAAAACCAGUGUUAAACAAAGCUUCCACGUUGCCACAUAACCGCGGGCACGACUUUCCGAAAGAUUUAACCCUGCAGGGGUGCUCCAACUAGUCCAUCACAAAUUACCACAAGCCGCAUAGAAAUCCUCAAUCACGAAGCUCGCGAUCUCGUCGGAUUCCCUGGUGGAAAACCUCAACUCUGAUAUUACCCAAAGCAUCACCGGAAUCCCGAUGCACAAGAUAUCUCGUCAAAGGUAAAACUAAUCCAGCAAGGCCGCCCGACGUGUCGACGAUCCCGAUAGGAGUCGCGUACCUCGUUCUCAGGACACGGCGGAUGAGCUAGACGUCGGGAUCGCUAAACCUCCGGGUGACCAGAGGGGCGCCGGACAUCGCUCAGGUGGGGCCAACACUCAUGAGGAGCACUGGCCCGGGGGUUGAUUAAAUUAUCUUCGGGGUCCGGAAAGUCCCUAUGCAAUUUUAUUAGGUGUUUAGGCAAAUGUAGUACCAAAGUUGGGCCUUGCCAGACCAGCUUUAAUCUAAAACGAAUUAUCAAGGGGGUCCCCAUAACAACCCCGAUCGUGUCAGGAGCGCUCAUUUAUGGAACAUAACACCGGUAGCCGAAACUAAGGGGACAAAGGUGGAACAAAACACCAGGCUAGGAAGGCAGAGCCUUCCACCUUUUACCAAGUAUAUAGGUCCAUUAAAUUAAAUAGCAUUAAUAUAUGGUGAUAAGACAAGGAACCCAUGUUAUCACAUGGAAGCAUCUGCACCUGCAACUAGCAACGCUAAACAGGGUUAAGCAAGCAGUAACAUAGCCAAUCAGUGGUUUGCUAGGGUGAACAGGUUGAUGGUUUCAUGGCCUUGUAGAGAGGCUGAUAUUUAACAGGUGGUAGGCAACGAGACGUAAACGAUAGCAACGGUAAAACUAGCAUGGCAAUGAUAGUAAUGGUAUCUGGGGAAAUGAUCAUCUUGCCUGAGAUCCCGCUUGGAAGAAGAACGACUCCGUGAAGCAGACGAACCGACGUAGUCGAACGGGUCCUCACAUCCGACACGCUUGCGGAACUCUAUCGAGACGGGGAAACCGGAAACAAGCAUCAACACACGAUAUUCACCACACGAUGCCCAACACAUAUGAUGCAUGAGCUACUGAAUACAUGCAAGUCACGGCAUGACAAUCCACGCAAUCAAACGCUACACAUUAAAUGAAGUUCAAUAUGCAACGAGUUGCAUAUUGACGAAACUCCACGUUAAUCAUUUAGUUCACUCCCGGUUAUCUACACGACAAUAUUAAUGUUGUCAAACAUGCAAGAGGUGAAGCGGAAAUUAAACUACCUAUCUAGGCAUUUUAAGUGAGGUCGGAAAUGACAUAUAGCACCUCCGAGACGACCUCACGGGUUAAUUUACAAUUCUGUCCAGAUCUGAUCUAAUGUAUUUAAUUAGUUGUUAAACAGCAAAACAAAUAGGUUCACGUGUUUCUACGCGUCAAGGCAAGUAAUCUACACGUAAAGAACAUCUCCAACGGAGCUACGGAACAAAAGAUACAAGCACCGCAAGAUAUGAUGACAUGAAUGCAAAAUUAUGUGCAACGGCGGCUACGAGCACUUCAAAACAAACAACCCGCAAGAGAAAAUGAAACUACAUAAGAUUCUAAGCAAGUAUCGUGUAGGACACGCUCAAAACGGAGCUACGGUUUGAAAACUACAAGCAUAACAAGAAAACACUACAAGCUGCCAAAUUCAGCCACAUAGCACUUUCUACGCCUCACAACUUCGGCUACACAACUCCGGUAUGCGCAAACAAGACAUGGCAUGAAAGAGGGCAAGACGCACUACUACAAACAACUAACAACAACUAGCAUGGCAGCAAGGAGCACUAGGAAAAGAAGACACAAAACGGCAUCUCGCGCACUAUUUCAGACUUAGUGAAAAUAACACCUCCUGAAAGUGCAGUUUUCAGCCUGAAGCUAUAUUGAAAGAAGCAAAACCUAUAGCUACAGGACUCCAAAUGGCAUGAAACAUCACAGCAUGCUAAAGAAACACAAGGGGUACAAUUAACUCCAUUGGACCAACCUCAUAAGAGCUACAGAUCUCAAGAUGCAAGCAAGACAAGACAGCAACAAAAUAAUACCAGAUUCCAGACUUAGAAAUAUUUCAGCUCCUCCAAAACAGCACUAUCUCUAGCAACUUGAGAGCAAGCAAACAACACCUAAACAUGCAUUUCUAUUGCAACUAAAAAAUACCAGGGGCUAAACAAAACACCCAAGAUCAACUCCCUAGUUGACAACUAAUUCAAACGAGGCACGGAAUAAAUCCUACGAAUUAAACAAAAGGGCAUCACGGCAAAAUAUCUCGCGAACUAACUUCCUCAAAAGCUAAAACUAAUUGCACAGAAAAAUCCAUGGGAUUUUUCUACCCCGGAAACAUAUAAAAUAUGUGGGGUUUGCAACACAAAAUAAUGCCACACAAUAACGCGGGAGAAAUAAACCUAGACACGAAAAAUAAUCUAACGGGCAAUCCCUACACGCAAAAUUACACUUGACCGCUCUAAAAUGCAUGGCAAAUAGCUCCCUAGAGCAUGGACAUUUACUCUACGUCAUACGAACAACCCGGACACGCGCGGAAAAUAACCAUGGAUCGGAUCCUAUUGUAACAGCACGCAAAACAAAGCAUUAGGCACCCUAAACGGCGUCAAACAAUUACGCAAGUUGGAUAAACGUGUUCUACUCGUGAAGCUACCCCAAAACGAUAUAUAACACGUCUCGAACCGGCUUACGGUUUAAAAGUUACGGGGGUUUAAAUAAAUAGCUAAAUCCUGAAAUUAACUAAACCGAAAAAGAAAAAAAAAACUAAAUCUCUAACGGGCCGAAUCUGGUGGCGCAACAUAUCUAACGCGCACCUAGGCAAGGAGUUCUCACCUAGCGGGCUCAGCCCAUGAAGGGGAGACGGUAGCAGGCCGAGGGCGGCCAACUGGGCCUGGCCGGUGGCUCGGCUUGCUCGGCCAGGGGCGCUUGGAGGUGGGCCGGGGCGAGCGGUGCCAGCUGGGCCGGCUCGGCAGGAGGCCCACGCGCGGGCAGAGGAGGCGCUCCCGUCUCCACUCUCGAUCCCGAGCGGCGGCGCGAUGGCUCCUGCCGUGGCGGCCGGCGAGGGGGGACCACCACGGGGCGCAGGGCCACGACGGGGAGGCGAGGGCGGCGCACGCGGAAGGAGAGCCGGCGGGGCUGCGGGGCAGGGCGGCGGCGAGGUCGAUGCCGGCUGCGCGGGAUCUCGCGCGGGGGCAUACCGGUGGGGAGGCCGGCCUGCGUCGGCGGGCCUGUGGCCGAAGGGAGGCGGCGGCGGGUUUCCACGAGGCGGCGGCUGGCGCAGCUCGGCUGCUGCUGCGGGCACGGGCAGCGGCGGCCGGAUCCGGGCCUGGAGCGGGCCUGCUGCGGGCCUCGCGGGCCGGCGGCGGGCAGGGAGAGGGAGGAGAGGCUGUGGCGGCUAGGGUUAGGUUAGGGCGCGGAUCCCGAGGAGGAUUAGGGGGGCGCCCAAAAUAGGCAGGGAGGGGUGCUUAAAUAGGGAAAUGGGCUAGGAUGCACGGUAUGUGGGGGUUUUUCGACCCUCCGGACGCGUUCGCGCGGUCCGAUCGGAGAGGCGGGUUAAGGUUAGGUGUGUGGAGUGGCGUUGGCUAAGAUGAGAGGGAAGUGGUGCGGCGCGGCAUCGACUUUUAAGACACCGACACACGUCCGAUGACUAACCGAAGACGGUGCCGCUACGGUCGACCGUUCAGGUACCAGGCGGUCUCCGAUCGCGACGAAAUUCGACAGGCGGCCUAGCUAAAACUAAUCGCGACCGCGUGCCAAGUUUCACCUCGAUCAGAGAGAGUUUAAAAUGCACAUUAAAAACAGGGUUUCGACGGUGCCGCGGGCGCGUGCGUGUGCGGUCGGACUUAGAACGGACAACGACGAGGACCGGCAACUACUAACGGAUGCAAGUUUUGAAAACGGGCGGCAACGGGAUGCCGAUGCAAUGCAGAUGAUGCGCAUGAUGCGAUGAUGAUGCGACAAAACAAAAAUAGACACACGAUGAAAACGGAAAGAGAGGGGAAUCUUCUGGAACGUCGGCAUCGGGCUGUCAUAGAUAGCUAUGAUCUUGAGAAUUUAUUGCGCAAGUGGAAAGAAAAAUCUGUGAACUCUAGAAUGAAAUACGAUCCUAAGUUUGCUAGUUCGCCCAUCUUUGUUACUGAUAAGGAUUAUGAAUUCUCUGUCGAUCCUGAGUUAAUCACUUUGGUCGAAUCUGAUCCUUUUCAUGGUUAUGAGUCUGAAACAGUUGUAGCACAUCUUACUAAGCUGCACGAUAUAGCCACCCUAUUCACGAGUGAGGAAAAGAUUUGCCACUACUAUAUCCUUAAGUUGUUUCCUUUCUCGCUAAGGGGUGAUGCUAAGACUUGGUUUACUUCUCUUGCUCCUGGUUGUGUGCGUAGUCCCCAGGAUAUGAUCUAUUAGUUCUCUGAGAAAUAUUUUCCUGCCCAUAAGAAACAAGCUUCCUUGCAUGAUAUAUAUAACUUUGUGCAAGUUGAAGAAGAGAGUCUCACACAAGCUUGGGGAGGCUUGUCCAGCUACUUAAUGCUUUGCCUGAUCACCCUCUUGAGAAAAAUGAAAUACUUGAUAUCUUUUAUAAUGGACUAACCGAUGCUUCUAGGGACCACCUAGAUAGUUGUGUUGGUUGUGUUUUCAGGGAACAAACUGUGGAACAAGCUGAGAUUCUAUUGAAUAAUAUCUUGAGCAAUGAUAAUGCUUGGACUAUUCCCGAACCACUUCCGAAGCCCACUCCGAAGAAAAGAGGUAUUCUAUUCCUCAGUCCUGAAGAUAUGCAAGAAGCCAAGAAAUCUAUGCAAGAGAAAGGUAUCAAAUCUGAAGAUGUUAAGAAUCUACCACCUAUUGAAGAAAUACAUGGUCUUGAUAACCCGACACAGGUAGUAGAUGUAAAUUAUCUUCGUAGAUUCAAUGAGAGUGAUAUUCCUUUUGAUAAACCUGCUAGCUUAUGCUUAGAUGAAUUUGAUGACUUUGUUGCCAAACAACAAAGUUUCAAUGAUUAUGUUAGCAGACAAUUGAGGCAAAAUGCUCGUAUGAUUGAUCAUAUAAGUGCUUGUGUGAAUAAAAAUGUCAAUGAUCUUAAGCUUUUGAGUAAACAUGCCUCUAUGGUCACUACUCAAGUAGAACAAGUACUUAAGGCUCAAAAUGACUUGCUCAAUGAGUUGAAUGACAAGUCUGUUAGAGUUAUCACUAGAGGUGGUAGAAUGACCCAGGAACCUUUGUAUCCUGAGGGUCAUCCUAAGAGAAUUGAACAAGAUUCUCAAGGAGUUAGCACUGAGGCACCUAGUCAUCCUAGUAAUAGGAAGAAAAAGAAAGAUGAUAGGAACUUGCAUGCUAGCAAACCUGCUGUUGUUACACCUGAGAAUCCAAAUGAUAUCUCUGUCUCUGAUGCCGAAACACAAUCUGGUGAUGAACAUGAGCCUAGUGAUAAUAUUGAUAGUGGUGUUCAUGUUGAUGCUCAACCUAGCAAUGAUAAGGAUGUGGAGAUUGAACCUGUUGAUCUUGAUAACCCACAACCUAAGAAUAGGAGAUAUGAUAAGAACGACUUCAUUGCUAGGAAGCAUGGUAAAGAAAGGGAACCAUGGGUUCAGAAACCCAUGCCCUUUCCUCCAAAACCAUCCAAGAAAAAGGAUGAUGAGGAUUUUGAGCGCUUUGUUGAAAUGAUUAUAUCUGUCUUUCUGCAAAUGCGUUUGACAGAUAUGCUCAAAAUGUCUCCUUAUGCUAAGUACAUGAAAGAUAUUGUGACUAAUAAAAGGAGGAUACCUGAGGUUGAGAUUUCCACCAUGCUUGCUAAUUACACCUUCAAGGGUGGAACUCCUAAGAAACUAGGUGAUCCCAGAGUGCCCACUAUACCUUGCUCCAUUAAAGAAAACUACGUUAUAACUGCUUUAUGCAAUCUUGGAGCCGGUGUUAGUGUUAUGCCUCUCUCUCUUUAUCGUAGGCUUGAAUUGGAUAAGUUGACACCCACUGAAAUGUCUUUGCAAAUGGCCGACAAAUCAACUGCUUUUCCUAUCGGCAUUUGCGAGGAUGUGUGAUAACCCACAAGUAUAAGGGAUCGCAACAGUUUUCGAGGGUAGAGUAUUCAACCCAAAAUUAUUGAUUCGACUCAAGGGGAAGCCAAAGAAUAUUCUCAAGUAUUAGCAGUUGAGUUGUCAAUUCAACCACACCUGAAAGCCCAGACCUCGCAGCAGGAAAGAAACAAAGCAGACCCUUUCACCCUUUUGCGGGGUAGGGAAGUUCUCUGCGAGGGCCUCGCCGUUAGCGGAAUUCAAUCCAACACGAGUAGGCGCGAGAUCCGAUGUGGGGAGAUAUCCUUGUACUUCAAGGUUGCGCAACUAGAGUAGGGAAACGGAACAACUUGCCCAAUCUCUCGGGAGGGGUCCAAAGGGUCGCGAGGAGGAACCCACCAUGGCUCUGGGCGCUGGAGCUCCAGGGUUUUCUUGGUGGAGCUUGAGGGGUGAUGGUCAUCCAAGGACGAAUUUGAUCUGUUUAUAAAGAGUAUUUUUUUUCCGCGGUUACAAGAAGCGGUUCCGUGAGGGACUACUAGAUUGCUUUUCCUCAUUAAUGCGCACAAGAAUCGAGUGCUGCUAUCGAUUCUCGAAAGGAAAUUUUGGAGGAUGUGGGCCCCGUGAUGCUUCGAUAAUCGAGAACUGGUGAUGACUGGAUCGUCGUUCCACAAAUCAGAGGGGAUGGAGGAACUCGCCUCACAAGCCGAUCACUCUGGGCGCGAGAAGCUGCAGAAGACCCUAUACAUCGGCGUUGGACGCAAGUUCGGGGUUUACUGAGGGAGUCCUGGACAAAGGGGUCCUCGGAUGGUCGGCCCAUCUCUAAUAGAUCGACCAUAUGGGCCGUAUUAUUGAAUAACGAACUGCAUGAUGACUUUGUAUUCGAGAAGGAAAGCUCCGAAGACUCGCAUAUCGUCCAAGUUUAAUAGUUUAGGUCGGCGCCCCUAUCCCCGACUCAAGGUCGGUUGUAUGUAACCCUAGGGACCCUUGGUGUUUAUAUAAACCAGAGGGUUUCAUCCGUACAGCCAGGUUGAUUCAUCUAGGAUUUAGCUCAUAUAAGCUCGAGGUAGAUCAACUCUGUAAUCCUUGUACACCAUGAAUAUAAUCAAGCAGGACGUAGGGUUUUACAUCCUUAAAAGGGCCCGAACCUGGGUAAAUACUGUCUCCUUCAUCUCGUGCAAUCCAUCAAUCAAAGGUCCAAAGUUCACGGCCCCUACCCGAGAUCCGCCGGUUUCGACGCCGAUAGCAUCGACAUUGGCAAGAGGGCGCGACAACACAGAAAGAAUACAUAUUCUUAGCUUUCAGGGUGAAAACCCCAAGUAUGAUUGUGCCUGCCGGUGCCUCGUUGAAGGUUUUAUUUUGAGAGCGUGGAUUUUCUCCCGGGUGAAAAUCUAAGAUCAGUGAUCGGAGGACGACGGAGCUUGUGCACGGUCCGAUCCAGCCUGCCGUCAGGCUGGACGCCGGCACCACCACGGUGCCUAGCAACCGGCACCACCGUGCCAGCAUGGAGUCACGUCAGUUAGAGUGCUAUCACCCGCCCAAGCCUAUCUGGACCGCGCGAUAUCUGGUUGCUCAUGCCUGCCAUGGAGCAAACCGCGCCUCCACUGUCAAGCCGGCUCACGCUCUUCACCGGGAUCCCGCCACUCCACACAGCUGGACCAUCGGCAGAUCGCGAGUCUCCACCGCCAUGCACGGGAGAAGGCCGCCGACUCACCCCACAAGGCCAGCGGUGGCCGCGUGCGAGAUCCGAUCCGGCGGCACCGAGAUCGACCGACGCUGAGAACAGUGGUCUUCCUCCUACCACCAUGAAAGGGGACAUGGCCACCUUGAGCUGCUGCUCGCGUCCCGUGCGGAAGAAGGCCCUAGCUCGCCAUGUCUCAGGCUCAGCCUCUUUGCCGAUACAAGUAAGCGAGUGCGGCCGAGCCCCAACUGAACUUGUUGUCGAAAACAGUCAAUGCCUUCAGCCACAUCCAUGGAGCAUUCUUGCCAGUGCCGUCAGCGAAGAUAGUCCUAGAGAUGACAUACCACAUGUACACACGAGCAUACGUCUGGAUCACCUCGUCAUUUGCGUCCUGAGGAUAAUGAGCAAAGUUGGCGGCAAUCCAAGUGAAAGGAGCGCCGGCCGGGACUCUAUCUUUCUUCCCUCCAUCUUCUACCUCCGGCUCUGGAGGCGAGAUACCAAUAAGAGCCUCCAUUUGUUGACGCCAUCCCUCGGAAUCAGUGCUCAUACAAAGAGGCUUCCCCUCGAUCGGAAGUGCGGUGAUCAUGAAAACAUCUUGAAGAGUCACUUCAUCUCUCCGGUCCGGAGGUGAAAACUAUGUGAAGACUUCAUCAAAUUUCUGGAAUGGGAAGUACACAGCGUAGAGGAAAAGGUACGUUGGAUUCACAACCUGCGCAUGCAUCUGCAUUCUACCAUGUCAGUGGAGUGGACGGCACGCUGUAUUUACCAUUCUCUCUUUUCUUCUUCUUUCUGGGAGCUCCAACUCCCUUUUGUAUAGUGCUGCUACAAUUUCUUAAACAAAAUCAAUAAUACUACACGCACUAGGAGAACUCUCUAUUAUUUUCGGUGAAAACAGAAUGGCAAGUAACCUGUUACGUCCUGUUUGGAUUAGCAUUUCCAUUCCAAAUACACCUGUAAAACCCCGUCGUUUUGAUUUCCGGUUAGAAAUAGUUUUUCAUCUGUAAGUUACACUUGUAAGAAUAAUACAUCUGUAUUUACAUCGAUUCCAAGCGCGGCCUUAGUGAUGCCAAACAUGGUAUUAGUGUUUCCCUCCCAUGCAGCCAAGAAGCAGAGCACUUGUAUUCUAAAAGAAGCAGAGCACCCCUGAGAUACUGCAAAAUAUGAAGACAUCUCUGAAUAUCCACGUAGAGAAAAAUGAUUAACAAUGGCUAGAAAGAUCAUCCACAUCGGAAUAACAGUAGGAUGUAACAUUAGUCGCCAAACAGCUGUUUAAUUCCCCUCAUCAGGAAAACAUUGGUGUAUAAAGUUACUAUUGUCCAAGUCCAACCACUUGGGUUUAGAGUACAUGCCAUCUGAUGAACCCGAACCACUAAAAAAUAUUUGCAAAACAAACCAUGCCCUCCUUAUGACAGAGCAAAUAUUCUGAAGUUUCUACCUCCGAAAGUUCUUAAGUUUUUAGGUUGAAGCAGUUUAACUUUCUUAACCGCUGAAUCAGUUUGAAGACUAGUAAUUUUCUGCCUCCGAAAGUUCUUAAGUUUUAGGACCUAAGUUAAUGUUUGAAUCAGUAUAUCAUAGAACAGACACACAAUUUAAAGGUUCUUACACACUAUAUCAAGCAUGCGACAUUACAUUGCUUAUAUAUCAUAACACCGACCAGCUGAGCAGCCUUCUCCAUGCCAUUCCACCAACCAAUGUUUAUUCUGGCCAUGGAAUGGCAGUAGAGCACCCAUUGUAAUCUGUCCCUGCAAUUAUAGUUGUGAAACGCAGAGCGCUGCAUGUCAGAUUAGUAAGCAGUGAUGAAGAGAAAAACUAAAUAAAAGUUAAAUAUAAUUAGAAUCUACUAGCUCCCAAUUCAUUAUCAUGCAGAUGCUGCAUCUCAAUAAGCAGUAUAUGGUUAGCUUUCACACAGCAGGGAAUAGAGAAAUAAACUACAGGAGCAUAGAAAUUUCUGAACGUACCAUUUUGAGCUCUGCACUUCCUCCCAUCCUGUCCACUUGAUCGCCCUACGCAGGUUCAAUGCUAACAUCAGGACUCCCUGGAUGCUUGUUGAUUGCCUUCCUAAGCAUAACCUUGAGACUAUGCUCGUCCCACCGUUGAAUCUCUUCCAGGCACGCCGGCAGCUCAGAAACCAGCGCCGAAAGUUCAACAAGCCUGCUAAAAUUCUCCUGGUGACAGAUAUACACCUUGAAUGUCUCUAGGCUUCCCAGAUGCUCGAUUCCAUCAAGCACACUAUCAUCACCUUGCCGCUCUGCUUCUGCAUAACACUCCAUAGUGAGGCUCUGGACCCUGGGCAUGGCCCCUGCCUCGAACAUGAGGCAAGGUGCUUUAUACCUGAACCAAAAUUCCUUGAGAUUUGGAAAUGUUGCAGCUCGGAUGAGUAAGCCUUGUAUGGGAACAUGCUCCCGAACAUACAAUUCAAGGUGAACCAGCAUGGUCAGCCUGGCCAUAACCUCCAAACCAUCUCUCAGCAGUGACCGGACUUCAAUUUUCAGGCUUCUGAGCUGGUUGAGUUGUGCAACCCAAUCUGGGACGAUGGAGAAGGUGAAGCCCUGCGCAUGUAAUCGAUGAAGAUGACUUGGUGGUGGUGUGGACCAACAAGUUAAGACAUACUUCUCCAAGUAACUAUAUCUUGCGAGACCAUGGAAGGUGAUGGAUUGAAGCCUGCCAAGUCUAUUGAGGGAGAGGAGUAGAGAAUCAUAAACAGAAUCAUAAUUAGAACCAGAAUCAGGAACAAAAGGCCCUUCGAGAUAUAACUCUAGCUCUCUCAGAUUGCUCAGAGCACCCAGCGCCUUCAUGCUCUUCGCAUCUCGGCGAAGUAUGAAAAAUCCAACCAAAGUACAAAGGGCUUUCAUCCUGCCGAUCGCACCAAACAGUUUGACACCUGUCGGAACAAUCAGAUGGCACAAUGUCGACGGUAAUAUGCUGACAUCUAGCCGGAAAAAUCCUACACCACUAGCUAGCUCCAAUGUCUUUAAAUUUUGUAACUUAUGCAAUUCUCUUAACUGUUUCUCACAAUGCACACCUCCAAUCUUCAAAUAACUCAGCUGGAAAAAGUUGCAUAUGGGAGAUAGAUCAUAGUGUUGAUAUUCGUGUCCACCAGCAUGAAGAUGCAGAACUCGCAGAAGUUGAAAACUUGAGAGAGAAGGCAUACAUUCAGGUUCACCCCAAAAGUUCAAAGACCUAACUUGGGUGAGAGCCGUGUUACCCAACACCUGAGUGCAUUCUGAAUUUACUAAGUUGGAGGGAUAGCCGGCGAAAUUCGAAACCGCCAUUCCUGUUGUGUGCACCAUUACCUGUAGGUGGUUCCUUGAUUACGGUGAUAAAGUUUUCUUCUGUGGACUUUAGUAUGAUAAAGUCAAGCAUUAGAUCAUGCACUCUACAGGACAACACAUGCCCGCAAUCAUCGUACUCGUCUAUUUGGAUCAUGUUUUUGUUGAUGAGCUCAGUGAAGUAGCUUUCUGCAAUAUCCUCAGGGCCAUAACCAUGCUUCUCAGUAACAAAACCCUCAGAAAUCCAUCUCUUCACCAAAUUUUCUUUUCUAAUUUUAGAACCCUGCGGGAAUAUACCAAGGUACAAUAAACAUGUCUUAAGGUCCAAUGAUAAAUCAUUGUAGCCAAGAGUAAGCACAUGCCUCAUCCAUUCAAAUGCAGGAUGUCCUUCCAAUGGAAAACCUAAAUGAUUUUGCAUCUUCUCCCAGGUUUCCUUUGAGCUCACCUCUUCAUGACUAGCCAAAUAGCUGGCAACACUGAGAAUAGCUAAUGGAACCCCAUCACAUUUCUUCAAUAUUUCACCAGAAACAUUCUUUAGUUGCUUUGGACACGCUUCGUCAGAAUAAAAUACCCUUUUAUAAAAUAAUCUCCUCGAGUCAAGAUCAUUAAGAGGUUUGAUCCUGUAGACAUGCCCAUGGAAACAAGAACAACAUGCCUUAGCCACAUCUUCAUUUCGUGUAGUUGUGAUAACUCUGCUACCAAGAUUAUUCUCCACAAAACAAACUUUAAAAGUAUUCCAUGCGUUUAUUGCCCAGAUAUCAUCCAACACAAUAAGGUAUCUGUCAAACAACACAAGAUACAAUUGUUGUGUUAAUCGCACAAACAAUGUAGGAUCCUAACAUGUGGUUUCAUCUCAGAAGUUUACAUUAUAUGAUCUUUAUACAUAACUUAAUUAAUUAAUCAUGAUAACAUAUAUACCUUUUAUCUCUGAGGUAGUUCCGGAGUUCGACGAUGAGUUGUCCAUCUUUGAGGCUAGAAGGCAUCCAGCCCCUAAAUGCUUGGUAUAUAUCUGAAAGAGUCUUGAACGUACUGGCAUUUUGAGACACCGUUACAAAAGCCUUGCAAUCAAAUUGGCUUUUGAUCUUGGUAUAAACUUGGUGGGCGAGAGUUGUCUUGCCCAUACCUCCAGAUCCAACGACAGCCGCAACUCUAAGGCGAUUUGCGCCGUCUUCUUCCCGACUGAGCAACUUGAUGAGCUUCUCCCUCGGGCCGUCUAUGCCUACGAGGUUGUUGGGGUCUACAUAGAGUGCCUCCAUUCGAGGGUCAAUAGCCACCAGCCCCCCAGCCCGAGGAGAAGGGAUGCAGUCAGGAGGAGGAGAAAGGGUGCGCUCAUCAAUCUUAUACCUAUGGUGGCAGCUGCUUACUUGGAGCGCCCGAGCCUUGAGUUCCUCGACGCGGCUGGCGAUCUUGUGGCGCGUCUUGAUCUUCCUGAGCCUGCGCCUAAGCCAGGCCUUGCCGCCAUGGCCGCUGCCGUUGAGGUCAUGGGUGAAGACGUCGACGCAGUCCUCCAUGUCGUAGGAGAGCUCGCGCACCUUGUCACGCCAGUCCCUCUGCUGCUCGUCGAGCGCCGCCGCCCGAGAGAGCCUGACGAGGAGCGCGUUCAUGCUGCCCAUCUCGUUCCUCAACGAGACGAUCUGCUUGUGCACGCCGCUGGACAGCUUGUACUUGCCCGCCAGCAACGCCGCCAGCUUGGGCAGCAGCGUCCUCAUGGCUCCCGUCACCGCGCUCACCACCCCCCCCCCUCCAUCUUCCUCUUCUCUCGAUCACUGUGGAAGUAGUAGGAAUGCAGGAACCGCGGAGCAGUGUGCCAACUCUGAGGUUUCAGGAGGAAGAAGCAGCUUGGUAAUUGAGUAGAGUUCACGUUGCAAUAAUGAUGCUCUCGUCUGUUUGUCUGGUCCACCAAGCGCGUGGUGCGUACGUGUGAACUGUGGACUCUACCCAUGGAGUCCACUGCAUUACUGCAUUAUGGACCCUGAACCCAGACAUGAACCCAGACAUGGACACUGAACCCAGUAAUGCAGCAUGGCCCACCCAGAACGACUCUUGGCGGCCGACUAUGCCGUGUCGUCUGGGGCAGGAAUUAAUAGUGCAGUAUAAAGCAGCGAUGUGACGGGAGCGAUGAGAACGUCCUCUUUUGCCUACGCGUCUUCUGAGUAGUGGACCUUCAGUCCCGGCCGGGCCAAACCAAGCCCCACGUAGAAAGCAUAGGCCCGAGCCCGGCCCGGCCCGCCCGUUGGGACUAGAUUUUACGCCCAAGAACAGCCCAUCACUGCUAAAUCCCGCCAGGCUUCGGGCCUCGGGCCGGGCCCCUUCCCUAAAACGUGAAAACACCAAGCACAGGCCCGGCCUGACAUACUCUUCAGACUCAAAAUUCAGGCUCAAAUAAGGCCCGCGGGCAAGACCGUGCCGGGCCGAGUCGGGCUUUUUCGGGCCUGGUCGGGUCGGGCCGGUCGGGCGGGGUAUCCCAUGACCAGGUAUAGUCCUCAGUCCUCUUUCUAAGAGCAAUUUGAACCGUGCGACCCAAACAGAUGCGCGCUAUGUUCACUUUUUGUUCGAUUGAAUUGGCAUUGUUCGUUUCAUUUUAUAAAUGGGUUGGGCGUGCGCUCAACGGGAUGACCCAAAUCUCGCCCUCGAGACCAGUCAGCAUCCAUUUUUUAAUCACACUCCGUUUCGGAUUUGAACGUUAUUUCUGUUUCAUCAAAUGCAUUUCAAUAUAUGUAUUUUUUUUAUCAAUUAUUCACUACGAAUAUAAGACCAAAGAAAACAAGAACCAUAAUUAGACAUUUUAAAAGAUGUCCAACUUUCAUAACUGCUCCUACUAGUUGGAUUAAGAUCUUCUCUAUGUUUUUGUUGUUGAUCUGUGGAUUCUUGAGCUUAACAACGACUUUCUUCUUUGAUACUAAAAAUUGGACGUUGCUUCCCAUUUGGUCUCUUCUUUAGUCUCAUCUAUACCUUUAAUUCUAGAAAAAAUUGCAUGAGCAUCUAGCAAAUUUCGUGAGAUCAAUAGGUCGAUGUAUUCUUCUUCCCAAUACCAAAAAUUGUAUCCAUCCUACACAAAAUAUUCAGCAAAUAAUAAGCUAUCGAAAUUGCAUCGAAUCAUCAAAGAGAAAAAGGUCGAACGAAAAUCAUACCCCGUCGUUUGUGCACUUCACGAACACCCAACCGGGAUGUUUCGGCGUCCAAGAAACGCGUCGGACGACGUGCAGUGGGCAGUCGUCGCACUUUAUGAGCUGCAAAGGUGAGCCGACAAGCUUUUAGGUCAGCGCCGAGCCAGGGUGACGGUCGGCCGUGGCCUUGUCGGCGAACCUACAACGGGUCAGACCCGAGGGGCUAGAGGUGGUUUGAUUGCCUGCAUGUGGCACCGAGGGAUUCGCCAAAUCCCAUCGACGGGAUGCGCAAAAUUUCGUCGUUGCCGUCGCAGAUCCACCAUUAGGCCUCCCGCACCGGGACGAAGGAGGCACCCCGUCGCUGGAUUUGCUCCUGGAGAGCUAGGGUGGCCGGGGAAAAUGGGGUCAUCGGCCUAGGAUUUGUGUGCUUGCAGGCGGUGGGUAGGGGAAGGGGAUAAGAAGGAGAGACUGUGAUGCCAACUGGCAGGCAAGGGGAAGGAGCACGCAGGCGAGGCACGUGUCUGCUUCGUGUCCGCGGCGACGGAUAUGACGCCCAAAUUUGAGCCUAGAGUGGGUCAUGGGUGGACAAAAACGGACGCGCGUCCGUUUGGAUCGGCAUGUUGGGCCAACUUUUCUGUCCGACGACCCAAACGUACACAGGCGAACGAAAUGGAUCACCCGGUUGGAGUUGCUCUAAAAGCAUUUCUAACAGCAACGCCAACCGACCGACCCAUUUUGUCCGCGCGUGUCUGUUUGGAUCAGUACACGUACAAAACUUGACCCAACAAAAUGAUUUAAACGGAUGCGCGUCUGUAUUUUGUCUUUCCGCGACCCAUUUUAGGUCCAAAUUUGGAUCCCAUUUGUGUUGGCGCACACAUGAGACAGACCCCUGGGAGGCCCGCUGUUAGAGCAUAAUUUCUCCAUAUGUGAUUUUGGUAAUUGAUGACAAUCCCUAUGGACUAAUGGUUGCCUUCAGUUAUAUUCAAAGGAUUUGUCCAUAGACACUUCUUGAAGUCCAUCUGUUGGUUUCAAGGAGUUUAUAUGAUGUUCAAUGUGGCAUUCAAGGUAUUAUCCAAAGAAUGAUCAUAAAGACACAAGGUUGAUCAAGACUAAGACAAAGAGUAAAUCAAGUUGAUCAACACACAAAGCGUAAAAGAUGUACUGAGAGUGAUCAACACACAUAGCAAGGAUGGAUGUAGUUAUUUUAUCGUUUGUUUUCGUUCGUAGUCAGACCCUGCUCUUCUUCAUGACGAUUGUAUGUAUUGUACUGAUGUGACUCUGAUGUAGCUUGUGACGAGUGUAAGCCAACUCUUUAUACUCAUCUUUUCAGUACAUGUACUUGUAACGAUAUCCAUUCUUACGAAACGACGAGAUGUGUUUCUAUCCCUGUCGAGGCCCUCACGCCAAAAUAAGGAUUGGAUCGCAUCUUGGGCGUGACAUCCGCUCUGCAAUCGACGUGAUGCACAUGAUGAAGAAUCUUUGUGUGAACCAUUUAGGCUUUUUGGGCGCGUAUGAGAAGACAAAAGAUACACCGGAGACAAGGGAGGACCAGCAACGUAUGCAUGAAAAAGAAGGCAUGCAUCCAAAACAGUAUCAAGGUCCUGCCAACUACGUUCUUACCAAAGCAGAGAAGGAAAUCUUUUUUGAAUGUCUGCUCAGUAUCAAGGUCACUACAAGAAAUAUGCUCAUACAUGACGUUUUUUAAGAUGUCGUUGAUGAAUUCGUCAUAAAUCUAUGACGAUUUCAUCCGAGAUUGUCGUAAGCCGUUUGAGGGGAUCAAAUCUACAUAUAAAUUACAACGACGUGAGUUAAAAACGUCAUCACAACAUAAGAUGAGAUCGUCAUAACUUUUAUGACAAUUAUAAAAAUGCCGUAACAUGUUCUAACUAUGUUGACAUGUCACUCGUGGGUCCAUUAUAAAAAAUCUUUUGACAACAAACCAUUUGGUCAAUUGUAUAUUUAAUAAGACAUAAAAUUUUAGAAAAAUGAUUUGGUCCAAUUUUGCAAUAAAUAUUUGGUAGGUCCUUCACAAAAAAAACUCACUUUAGGCACUCGAAAAAUAUAAAAUGGAUUUUUCGUGCAAAAAAAUGAAAAGUCCCUUUGACAACAUUAUUUGUAAUUCCAAGAUGCAAGCUUGUAUACUUUAAGAGAUCAUAUUUGGAUUUUAUCAUGUGAAAAAGUAGAAGCAAAACAAUAGAAAAAAUACAAUUGCAUAUGCUUUAUUCUGAUUGGUGGAAUUGGUUAUGGCAUGGAUCGAUGACAUGGCGUUCAUCCAUCCAUCCAUAUCUCCAUCCCCAUACAUCCAUCCCUCUGUCUCGCGCACACGAACCCUAGCCUCUCCCCGAUCCAGAUCCGCCAUCCACCUCCAUCUCCCCUCGCCGUCGCCUCCCACCACGGCUCCCCGAUCCAGAUCCGCCAUCCACCUCCCUCUCCCCUCGCCGCCGCCUCCAUCUGCAAGCUGCGUGACGCCAGCCCCCGUGGAGUCACGCUACACCGCCCGCCCGCCGAGGAGGAGCCGCUCUCCGGCUCGACAACGGGGGCUGGCAAGCCGUGCAAGCGUCGGGCGUCCGUGAGCGGUGGCGGCGAGCGGCGGGUGAAGAAUCCCCUGCAGCAGCCGCAGCCGCAGCAGGUGCAGGGGCAGGGGCAGAGCGAGGCGGCGGGUGCCAUGGUGUUGGGCUCGUCGUCGAGGCACUAGGGGUCGCCCACGGCAUCGUCGAUGGCGGGCGGCGGCGGAUUGUCGUUCCGGCUGCGCAACUGGACGGCGGGCGACGACACGAAUAUGGCAUUCAUGGGGUUGUCGCCCAUGGCCUGGCCGAUGGCCGACUGGUUCAACACGAGGGUGAUGUUGAACGAGCGCAGGUGGUCCGCAGGCCCGACGCCGCUGAGCAUCAGCAGUUGCGGGCUGCCCAUGGCGCCCGCCGAGAGGAUGAUCUUGUUGCGGCGGCCGGUGUUGAGGUACGCCUUUUGCAUGUGCCCCUGGAGUCGUGGACUGGAUGAGCGCGUCAUCCAGUCCAAAUCCUUCGAGAACUUCACGUACCCCUACUUCUCCAUGGAGGCGCUGCUCAACAUGAUGGCAGAGUUCCCCGUCAACCUGCUGCCUCGGCACGACAACGACUCCAGGUCUGCCUGCAGGAGAAGAGGUGACUGAUUAGCUAUUUAUCUUAGCCCUCCUCCUCUUGUCUCCUGGCUGCAAUUUGUUAUGCACUGUAGAUAUUAUUGGCCACCCUGAUUUAUUUUCCCUUCAUGAGCACAUUUGGAGCUCUCUGUUGAGCUUAUUUAUUUGGUUUGGUUUGCUUCCAAACGGGGAAUAUGCGUAGAAAACUUGGGCUGAGCAUCGAGAAAUACACAACAAGUUCGUCUCACCAACUACAGCAGCAAAUUAUAACUAGAUACAUGAAGCCGAAAAUGACCGUGUCAGCAACGGACAAAUACAUGUAUCACCAGUGCAUUCACAUUACAAAUGCCUGGCCUAGUCUUGUAGAAUGGUUAGAUUCUAUAUUCACUUGAACGAACCUUUUUUUUGUUCCUAUAUAUAAGACGGUUCAACUUAACUUUACAAGGUAACAGUAAAUUUCAGACCGCGUGAAACAAAGCAAAAGGCUGUUACAACGGUACUGUUCAGUGCAUUUAAUUCCGAGUAAUAUGACGUAUCCUUAUCACCUUUGAUUUUGCAAUUUGUGCUGUUGCAAACUACUACUCUGUAUGCCUAUUCACCUUUGCCAUGUUACAUGAUUCUUUUCUCCAUGUAUCCAGCAUUAUCAAUGUUGCUCUUGAUGCUCAUGUUUUAACUUUGUAGUACAGUACCCACGGUUAUACAGCAGCCAUCCACUACCAUAAACAACUCAACCCUUGCCAAGACACUAGCGGAAUAUGCUGCUGCCGUAAGUCUGUUCGCCCUUUCUUGUCCUAGUUAUUCUGAAUAUUAGUUCGACAUUCAGUGUUACAUUAGUUUGUCAAAUUCUUUCUGCUAUCUUAGGAAGUCCCAACAAAAUUAUGUUGGAAAUAUGCCCUAGAGGCAAUAAUAAAAUGGUUAUUAUCAUUAUUUCCUUGUUCAUGAUAAUCGUCUAUUGUUCAUGCUAUAAUUGUAUUAACAGGAAACAUUAAUACAUGUGUGAAUAGAUAUAUCACAAUGUGUCCCUAGCAAGCCUCUAGUUGGCUAGCUCGUUAGUCAAUAGAUGAUCAUGGUUUCCUCAUCAUGGGCAUUAGAUGUCAUUGAUAACGGGAUCACAUCAUUGGAGAAUGAUGUGAUGGACAAGACCCAAUCCUGAGCAUAGCACUAGAUCGUAUUGUUCGUAUGCUAAAGCUUUUCUAAUGUCAAGUGUCUUUUCCUUCGAUCGUGAGAUUGUGCAACUCCCGGAUACCGUAGGAGUGCUUUGGGUGUAUCAAACGUCACAACGUAACUGGGUGACUAUAAAGGUGCACUACGGGUACCUCCGAAAGUGUCUGUUGGGUUGGUACGAAUCGAGAUCGGGAUUUGUCACUCCGUGUGACGGAGAGGUAUCUCUGGGCCCACUCGGUAGAACAUCAUCAUGAGCUCAAUGUGACUAAGGAGUUAGUCACACGAUGACGUGCUACGGAACGAGUAAAGAGACUUACCGGUAUCGAGAUUGAACAAGGUAUAGCUAUACCGACAAUCGAAUCUCGGGCAAGUUCUAUACCGACAGACAAAGGGAAUCGUAUACGGGAUUGAUUGAAUCCUUGACAUCGUGGUUCAUCCGAUGAGAUCAUCGUGGAGCAAGUGGGAGCCACCAUGGGUAUCCAGACCCCGCUGAUGGUUAUUGGCCAGAGAGGUGUCUCGGUCAUGUCUGCUUGUCUCCCGAACCCGUAGGGUCUACACACUUAAGGUUCGAUGACGCUAGGGUCAUAGGGAAUCGUUAUACGAGGUUACCGAAAGAUGUUUGGAGUCCCAGAUGAGAUCCCGGACGUCACGAGGAGCUCCGGAAUGGUCCGAAGGUAAAGAUUGAUAUAUAGGACGGAUGGUUUCGGACACCGGAAGUGUUUCGGGCAUCACUGGUAACGUACCGGGACCACCGGAGGUGGCCCCGGGGGACCACCGAAGGGGGGCAACGACCCCGGGUGGUAAGGUGGGCCAAGUGGGGGUGGGAACCAGCCCCUAGGUGGGCUGGUGCGCCUCCCCACUCAGCCCAAUGCGCAGGGGAGAGAAAAAGGGGGGCAAACCCUAAGCCAGGUGUGCCUAAGGCCCACCAGAUGGUGCGCCACCCCCACCUCCCCCCUCUGGCCGCCGCACCUCCCAUCUAGGGGGGCUGCCGCACCCCCUAGGGUGGGAAACCUAGGGGUGGCACCCCCUCUCCCCUCCCCCUAUAUAUAUCGGGCACUUUUGGCCAUUGAGAGACAGACUUUUCCCUCUCCCUCGGCGCAGCCCUGCUCUUCUUUCUGGUCCUCUCUGCCGGUGCUUGGCGAAGCCCUGCCGGGAGACCUCGUCUCUCCAUCGACACCACGCUGUCGUGCUGCUGGAGUUCUUCCCCAACCUCUCCCUCCUCCUUGCUGGAUCAAGGUGUGGGAGACGUCACCGGGCUGCACGUGUGUUGAACGCGGAGGUGCCGUAGUUCGGCACUAGAUCGGAAUCGUUGCGAGUACGACUCCAUCAACCACGUUCUAGCAACGCUUCUGCUUAGCGAUCUUCAAAGGUAUGAAGAUGCUCUUACCCCUCUCUCGUUGCUGGUCUCUCCAUAGGAAGAUCUGAAUAUGCGUAGGAAAAUUUUGAAUUUAUGCUACGUUACCCAACAGUGGCAUCCGAGCCAGGUUUUCUAUGCAUAGAUUCUAUGCACGAGUAGAACACCAAAGUUGUGGGCGAUGAUUUGUCAACUUGCUUGCCGCUACUAGUCUUAUUAUUUUCCGGCGGUAUUGUGGGAUGAAGCGGCCCGGACCGACUUUACACGUACGCUUACGUGAGACUGGUUCCACCGACAGACAUGCACACCGUGCAUAAAGGUGGCUAGCGGGUGUCUGUCUCUCCUACUCUAGUCGGAUUGGAUUUGAUGAAAAGGGUCCUUAUGAAGGGUAAAUAGCUUUGGCAUAUCAUCGUUGUGGCUGUCACGUAGGUAAGAAGGCGUUCUUGCUAGAAACCAAAAUCAACCACGUAAAACUUGCAACAACAAUUAGAGGACGUCUAACUUGUUUUUGCAGGGUUUGACAUGUGAUGUGACAUGGCCAAAGUUGUGAUGUUGCAUGUAUGAUGUAUGAGAUGAUCAUGUUAUUGUAAUAGGUUUCACGACUUGCAUGUCGAUGAGUAUGACAACCGGCUGGAGCCAUAGGAGUUGUCUUAAUUUAUUGUAUGAGAUGCAACGCCAUGUGCUUACUACUUUUACUUCAUUGCUAACGGUUAGCUAUAGUAGUAGUGAUAGUAGUAGUUGGCGUGACGACUUCACGGAGACACGAUGAUGGAGAUCAUGAUGAUGGAGAUCAUGGUGUCACGCCGGUGACGACGAUGAUCAUGCGAUGCCUGAAGAUGGAGAUCGAAAGAGCAAAUAUGAUAAUGGCCAUAUCAUGUCACUAUAUGAUUGCAUUGUGAUGUUUAUCAUGUUUUACAUAUUAUUGCUUAGAACGAAGGUAGCAUAAUAAGAUGAUCCCUCUUAAAAUUUCGAGAACGUAUUCCCCUAAGUGUGCACCGUUGCGAAGGUUUAUUGUCUCGAAGCACCACGUGAUGAUCGGGUGUGAUAGAUUCUAACGUUCGCAUACAACGGGUGCAAGCUAGAUUUACACACGCGAAACACCUAGGUUGACUCGACGAGCUUAGCAUGUACAGACAUGACCUCGAAUACAAGAGACCGAAAGGUCGAACAUGAGUCGUAUGGUUGAAUACGAUCAGCAUGGAGUUGCUCACCAUGGUGACUAGUCCGUCUCACGUGAUGAUCGGACACGGGUUAGUCAACAUGGAUCAUGUAUCACUUAGAUGACUAGAGGGAUGUUGAUUUAAGUGGGAGUUCAUACUUAAUUUGAUUAAAUGAACUUAAUUGUCAUGAACUUAGUCUAAAAAGUUGUCUUUAUAAAUAUUGUAGAUGUCCAACGUCAACCUCAAUUUCAACGCAUUCCUAGAGAAAAACAAGUUGAAAGAUGAUGGUAGCAACUAUGCGGACUGGGUUCGCAACUUGAAGCUCAUCCUUGAAGCAGCUAAAAAGGCUUAUGUCCUUGAUGCGCCGCUAGGUGACCCUCCCGCCCCCGCAGCAGCCCAGGACAUUCUGAACGUCUGGCAAACGCGGAGUGAUGAUUACUCUCUGGUUAGGUGUGGCAUGUUAUACAGUUCAGAAACGGGGCUCCAAAGGCGUUUUGAGAAACACGGGGCAUAUGAGAUGUUCAAGGAGCUGAAGCUAGUUUUUCAAGCUCAUGCCCGUGUCGAGAGAUAUGAAGUCUCUGACAAGUUCUUUAGCUGUAAGAUGGAGGAGAACAUUUCUGCCAGUGAGCACAUACUCAAAAUGUCUGGGUUACACGGUCGUCUGACUUCACUUGGAGUCGAACUUCCGGAUGAUGCUAUAAUUGACAGAAUCCUCCAGUCUCUCCCACCAAGCUACAAAGGCUUUGUGCUUAACUACAACAUGCAAGGGAUGGAUAAGACCAUUCCCGAGUUGUACUCGAUGCUCAAGUCUGCAGAAGUAGAAAUCAAGAAAGAGCAUCAAGUGUUGAUGGUCAACAAGACCACUAGUUUCAAGAAAGGCAAGGGUAAGAAGAACUUCAAGAAAGACGGCAAAGCUGUUGCCGCGCCUGGUAAGCCAGAUGCCGGGAAGAAGAAAAAGAACGGACCCAAGCCUGAGACUGAGUGCUUCUAUUGCAAGGGAAAGGGUCACUAGAAGCGGAACUGCCCCAAAUACUUAGCGGACAAGAAGGCCGGCAACGUUAAAGGUAUAUGUGAUAUACAUAUUAUUGAUGUGUACCUUACCAGCGCUCGUAGUAGCUCCUGGGUAUUUGAUACCGGUGCUGUUGCUCACAUUUGCAACUCAAAGCAGGAACCGCGGAAUAAGCGGAGACUGGCCAAGGACGAGGUGACGAUGCGCGUCGGGAAUGGUUCAAAGGUCGAUGUGAUCGCCGUCGGCACGCUACCUCUACAUCUAACAUCGGGAUUAGUUUUAAACCUUAAUAAUUGUUAUUUAGUACCAGCUUUAAGCAUGAACAUUGUAUCAGGGUCUUGCUUAAUGCGAGACGGCUACUCAUUUAAGUCAGAGAAUAAUGGUUGUUCUAUUUAUAUGAGUGAUAUGUUUUAUGGUCAUGCUCCGCUGGUGAAUGGUUUGUUCUUGAUGAAUCUCGAUCGUGAUGUUACACAUAUUCAUAGUGUGAGUACCAAAAGAUGUAAAGUUGAUAAUGAUAGUCCCACAUACUUGUGGCACUGCCGCUUUGGUCACAUCGGCGUUAAGCGCAUGAAGAAGCUCCAUACUGAUCGACUAUUAGAGUCUCUUGAUUUUGAAUCAUUUGACACAUACGAACCGUGCCUCAUGGGCAAGAUGACUAAGACUCCAUUCUCAGGAAUAAUGGAGAGAGCAACCGACUUAUUGGAAAUAAUACAUACUGAUAUGUGUGGUCCAAUGAACGUUGAAGCUCGCGGUGGUUAUCGUUAGGUUCUCACUCUCACCGAUGAUUUGAGUAGGUAUGGGUAUAUCUACUUGAUGAAGCACAAAUCUGAGACGUUUGAAAAGUUCAAGGAAUUUCAGAAUGAGGUUGAGAAUCAACGUGACAGAAAAAUUAAAUGUCUACGAUCUGAUCGUGGAGGAGAAUAUUUGAGUCGCGAGUUUGGAACAGACCUAAGGAAGUGUGGAAUCGUUUCACAACUGACGCCGCCUAGCACACCGCAACGCAAUGGAGUGUGUGAACGUCGUAAUCGCACUUUAUUAGAUAUGGUACGAUCUAUGAUGUCUCUUACCGACUUACCGCUAUCAUUUUGGGAUACGCAUUAGAAACUGCAGCAUUCACUUUAAAUAGGGCAGCGUCUAAAUCCGUUGAGACGACACCGUAUGAUCUACGGUUUGGCAAGAAACCUAAGUUGUCGUUUCUUAAAGUUUGGGGCUGCAAUGCUUAUGUGAAGAAACUUCAACCAGAAAAGCUCGAACCCAAAACGGAGAAAUGCGUAUUCAUAGGAUACCCUAAGGAAACUAUUGGGUAUACCUUCUAUCUUAGAUCUGAAGGUAAAACCUUUGUUGCCAAGAACGGAUCCUUUCUAGAGAAAGAGUUUCUCUCGAAAGAAGUAAGUGGGAGGAAGGUAGAACUUGAUGAGGUAAUUACACCCCCUCUCGAAUAGGAUAGUAGCGCAGCACGGGAAGUUGUUCCUGUGGCGCCUACACCGACUGAAGAGGAAGUUAAUGAUGAUAAUCAUGAAGCUUCGGAUCAAGUUACUACUGAACCGCGAAGGUCCACAAGGGCACGCUCCGCACCAGAGUGGUACGGCAACCCUGUGAUGGAAAUCAUGUUGUUAGACAACGGUGAACCUUCAAACUAUGAAGAAGCGAUGGCGGGCCAGGAUUCCAACAAAUGGCUUGAGGCUAUGAAAUCCGAGAUAGGAUCCAUGUAUGAGAACAAAGUAUGGACUUUGGUGGACUUGCCCGAUGACCGGCGAGCCAUAGAAAAUAAAUGGAUCUUCAAGAAGAAGACUGAUGCAAACGGUAAUGUAACCGUUUACAAAGCUCGACUUGUCGCAAAGGGUUUUCGACAAAUUCAAGGAGUUGACUACGAAGAGACUUUCUCUCCCAUAACGAAGCUGAAAUCAGUCCGAAUCAUGUUAGCAAUUGCCGCCUUUUAUGAUUAUGAAAUUUGGCAAAUGGACGUCAAAACAACGUUCCUUAACGGGAACCUUAAGGAAGAGUUGUAUAUGAUGCAACCAGAAGGUUUUGUCGACCCUAAGGGUGCUAACAAAGUGUGCAAGCUCCAGCGCUCCAUCUAUGGGCUGGUGCAAGCAUCUCGGAGUUGGAACAUUCGCUUUAAUGAGGUGAUUAAAGUGUUUGGGUUCAUACAGGUUUAUGGAGAAGCCUGUCUGUACAAGAAAGUGAGUGGGAGCUCUGUAGCUUUCCUCAUACUGUAUGUGGAUGACAUAUUAUUGAUGGGGAAUAAUAUAGAGACGUUGGAGAGCAUAAAGGCCUAUUUGAACAAGAGUUUUUCAAUGAAGGACCUUGGAGAAGCUGCAUACAUAUUAGGCAUCAAGAUCUAUAGAGAUAGAUCGAGACGCCUCAUAGGACUUUCGCAAAGUACAUACCUUGACAAGAUAUUGAAGAAGUUCAAUAUGGAAAACUCAAAGAAAGGGUUCUUCCAGUUUUGCAAGGUAUGAGAUUGAGUAAGACUCAGCCGCCGACCACGGCAGCAGAUAGAGAGAAGAUGACUUUUGUCCCCUACGCUUCAGCCGUGGGCUCUCUAAUGUAUGCCAUGCUGUGUACCAGACCUGAUAUAAACCUUGCCAUAAGUUUGGUAGGGAGGUACCAAAGUGAUCCCGAUAUGGAACACUGGACAGCGGUCAAGAAUAUCCUUAAGUACCUGAAAAGGACUAAGGAAAUGUUUCUCGUUUAUGGAGGUGACGAAGAGCUCGUCGUAAAGGGUUACGUCGACGCUAGCUUCGACACAGAUCCGGAUGACUCUAAGUCACAGACCGGAUACGUAUAUGUGUUGAAUGGUGGGGCAGUGAGCUGGUGCAGUAGCAAGCACGAAGUCGUGGCAGAAUCUACAUGUGAAGCGGAGUACAUAGCUGCUUCAGAAGCAGCUCAUGAAGGAAUUUGGAUGAAGGAGCUCAUCACCGACCUUGGAGUGGUUCCAAGCGCGUCGGGUCCAAUGACACUCUUCUGUGAUAACACUGGAGCCAUUGCCAUAGCCAAGGAGCCCAGGUUUCACCGGAAGACGAAGCACAUCAAACGCCGCUACAACUCCAUCCAGGACCAUGUCCAGAGUGGAGUGAUAGAUAUUUGUAAAGUACACACGGAUCUGAAUAUUGCAGACCCGUUGACUAAACCUCUUCCACGAGCAAAACAUGAUCAACACCAUAAUGUUAUGGGUGUUCGAUACAUCACAAUGUAACUAGAUUAUUGACUCUAGUGCAAGUGGGAGACUAUUGGAAAUAUGCCCUAGAGGCAAUAAUAAAAUGGUUAUUAUCAUAUUUCCUUGUUCAUGAUAAUCGUCUAUUGUUCAUGCUAUAAUUGUAUUAACAGGAAACAGUAAUACAUGUGUGAAUAGAUAGAUCACAAUGUGUCCCUAGCAAGCCUCUAGUUGGCUAGCUCGUUAGUCAAUAGAUGAUCAUGGUUUCCUGAUCAUGGGCAUUAGAUGUCAUUGAUAACGGGAUCACAUCAUUGGAGAAUGAUGUGAUGGACAAGACCCAAUCCUGAGCAUAGCACUAGAUCGUAGUGUUCGUAUGCUAAAGCUUUUCUAAUGUCAAGUAUCUUUUCCUUCGACCGNNNNNNNNNNNNNNNNNNNNNNNNNNNNNNNNNNNNNNNNNNNNNNNNNNNNNNNNNNNNNNNNNNNNNNNNNNNNNNNNNNNNNNNNNNNNNNNNNNNNGUUUUCGGAGUUCACCGGGGGGGGGCAGCCCACCCCGGGGAAGCCCAUAGGCCUUGGGGGUGGCACACCAGCCCUUGGUGGGCUGGUGGGACAACCCAAGAAGGCCCUAUGCGCCAUAGAUAGAAAAUCAAAGAGAAAAGAAAAAAAAGGAGGUGGGAAGGAAGAGAAGGACUCCACCUUCCAAUCCUAGUUGGACUAGGAUUGGAGGACUCCUCCUCCCCUUGGUGUGCAGCCCUUGGGGCUCCUUGAGCCUCAAGGCAAGCCUCCCCUCCCUCCUCCUAUAUAUAUGGAGCUAUUAGGGCUGAUUUGAGACAACUUUGCCACGGCAGCCCGACCACAUACCUCCACGGUUUUUCCUCUAGAUCGCGUUUCUGCAGAGCUCGGGCGGAGCCCUGCUGAGAUUAGAUCACCACCAACCUCCGAAGCGCCGUCACGCUGCCGGAGAACUCAUCUACCUCUCCGUCUCUAUUGCUGGAUCAAGAAGGCCGAGAUCAUCGUCGAUAUGUACGUGUGCUGAACGCGGAGGUGCCGUCCGUUCGGCACUAGAUCGUGGGACGGAUCGCGGGACGGUUCGUGGGACGAUUCGUGGGGCGGAUCGAGGGACGUGAGAACGUUUCACUACAUCAACCGCGUUUCUUAACGCUUUUGCUGUGCGAUCUACAAGGGUACGUAGAUCGGGAAUCCCCUCUCGUAGAUGGACAUCACCAUGAUAGGUCUUCGUGCGCGUAGGAAAAUUUUGUUUCCCAUGCGACGUUCCCCAACACAUAGUUCUACAAAAUUCUACCUUGGUGGCCCCGUAUACCAAUGAACACAAGAAUAUUCUACGCUCCAAACACCCGGAGCAGUCUGACGGCUAGAUUACAUGUGAAUACAUGAGGACUUUCAGCGGUUGGCUGCAAACACAUCUCAGGAGUAACAACAUUAUUGGAGAUGACCUGUACUUGUUGGCCACGAUACCAUCUUCGACUAUAUUGACUUUCCAAGGGUACGAGGGAAUACAUUUUACACAACCUCCCAAGAUAAAAAGAGCACCAACCAAAACAGUGGUGUACGCUUUGAUCAAGCAAACAUCAAUAGGGCAGAUGACACAUCAAGGUUACAUAGAGGAGAUAUGGGAACUUGACUAUGGGCGUGAUGAUUUUAAGGUCCCUUUGUUUCGGUGCAAAUGGGUCAAUCUGACAGGAGGCGGGUACAGGUAGACCCGCGGUACGGAAUGACAAUAGUGGAUCUCGACAAUCUUGGGUACACAGACGAACUAUUAGUCCUAGCCAAUAAUGUGGCGUAGGUUUUCUAUGUAAAGGACAUGUUUACCAAACCAAGAAAAAGAAAAGAUAAGAAAGUGAAUACAUCACACGAUGAGCCAAAGUACCACAUAGUUCUUUCAGGGAAAAGAAACAUCGUGGGAGUGGAGGACAAGACAGACAUGUCAGUAGAAUAUGAAAAAUUUCAUGAAAUUAUUGCCUUCACACUGAAGACUAACCCAAGCAUCCUCUUAAAUGAUGAAGAUUAUUCAUGGUUACGGUGCAAUAAGCAAGGGACAAACCGGAGGGAAUCUUAGCUAGGGCAUUUUGGCAUUUGAAACAUGAUUGUAGAAUAAUUAUUUAUUAAGUUAUGAUUUUUCAAUUAUUCAUGUCCUUUUAGUAUUCGAGAUAAGUCGCUCGAGGUUCGGAAGAGAUUGUCCAAUUUGUACACGAAGUGCACCCAGUUUUUGCCUUAACCCUCUCAACUAUUUAACACAUGCUAUGUGGGCGAAAUGAUGAUACCAUGCCAAAGUUCAACCUUUUCAGAGUUCAUUUGUAGUGCUUUUCAAUUUCAGGGUCAUUUAGCUCAAAAAAAUCAUUAAAUGCACGAAAAAUAGCAAAUGAAGUCAGAAAGGGUUGAAAAAUGAUGAAGUGGUUUUGAAUGGUGCAUAUCAAACGCACAAAAAGUCUGGAGUUGAAACAAGCUUAAAAAAUGAAAUGCCUUUGUAAGAGAUGAGUUUUCGUCCAAAACCCUCAUACUUCGAAAGAGGUUGUCCAGUUUGUACACGAAGUACAUCCAAUUUUUGUUGUAACCCUCUCAACUUUUUAGCACAUGCUAUAUGGGUGAAAUGAUGAUACCAUGUCAAAUUUCAACCUUUGCAGAGUUCAUUUGUAGUGUUUUUUAAUUUCAGGGUCAUUUAGCUCAAAAAACAUUAAAUGCAUGAAAAAUAGAAAAUGAAGUCACAAAGGGUUGAAAAUUGAUGACGUGGCUUUGAAUGGUGCAUAAAAAGGGUAAAUGGAGAAGUGGGUAGAAGCGCAACAAUCCAGGCUCGAAACUUGGGGGGGGGGCGCCCANNNNNNNNNNNNNNNNNNNNNNNNNNNNNNNNNNNNNNNNNNNNNNNNNNNNNNNNNNNNNNNNNNNNNNNNNNNNNNNNNNNNNNNNNNNNNNNNNNNNUUUAUGAAAUAUUGCACAUAGGAUGUCAAAACAGUGUUUCCUCGACGGUUUCCUUGAGCAAACAUUGUAUGUGAUACAACCAGGAGGUUUUGUCGAUCCUAAAGAUACUAGCAAGUAUGCAAGCUCCAGCGAUCCUUCAAUGGAGUGGUGCAAGCAUCUCGGAGUGGGAAUAUACACUUUGAUGAGAUGAUCAACAAUUUUGGGUUUGUACAAGGUUUAUGAGAAACUUGUAUUUCCAAAGAAGUGAUGGGAGCACUAUAGAAUUUCUGAUAAGUAUAUGUGGUUGACAUAUUGUGGAUCAGAAGUAAUGUAGAAUUUCUGUAAAGCAUACAAGGUUUUUUAAAAUGAGUUUUUCAAAGGAAUACCUGGAUUGCGCUACUUGAACGUUGAGCAUCAAAGAUCUAUGGAGAUAGAUCGAAAGCGCUUAAUAGAAGUUUCAACAAGAUGCAUGCCUUGACAAGUUUUUGAAGGAGUUCAAAAUAGAUCAGAAAAGAAGGAGUUCUUGGUUGCGUUGUAAGGUGUGAAUUUGAGUAAGACUCAAAACCCGACCCCGGCAGGAUAAAGAGAAUAGACGAAGGUCGUCUUCUAUGCCUUGGAUGUAGAAUCUGAAGUAUGCCAUGCUGGGUACCGCACCUGAUGUGUGCCUUGACUCAAAGUCUGCUGAGAGGUACACAGAGUGAUCCAUGAUUGAAUCACUAGCAGCGGUCAAAAUUUAUCCUCAGUAACUGAUGGACUAAGGAAAUUUUCUCGAUCAUGGAGGUGGUUAAAGAGUUCGUCGUAAAGGGUUACGUUGAUGCAAGCUUUGACACUAAUCCGAAUAGCUAUGAGUAGUGAAACGGAUUCGUAUAGUAGAGUAGAUAUUUGGAGCAUUUCCGAAUAGCACAUAGUAGCAGCAUCUAUAAGAUGACAUAAAGAUUUGUAAAGAACUCAUGGAUCUGAAAGUUUUCAGAACCGUUGACUAAAACCUCUCUCACGAGCAAGACGUGAUCAGACCCCAUAACUAUAUGGGUGUUGGAUUCGUUGGAAUCACAUGGUGAUGUGAACUAGAUUAUUGACUCUAUGCAAGUGGGAGACUGUUGGAAAUAUGCCCUAGAGGCAAUAAUAAAUUAGUUAUUAUUAUAUUUCUUUGUUCAUUAUAAUCGUUUAUUAUCCAUGCUAUAAUUGUAUUGAUUGGAAACACAGUGCAUGUGUGGAUACAUAGACAAAGCACUGUCCCUAGUAAGCCUCUAGUUGACUAGCUCGUUGAUCAAAGAUGGUCAAGGUUUCCUGACCAUAGGCAAGUGUUGUCACUUGAUAAUGGGAUCACAUCAUUAGGGGAAUCAUAUGAUGGACUAGACCCAAACUAAUAGACGUAGCAUGUUGAUCGUGUCAUUUUUGUUGCUACUGUUUUCUGCGUGUCAAGUAUUUGUUCCUAUGACCAUCAAAUCAUAUAACUCACUGACACCGGAGGAAUGAUUUGUGUGUAUCAAACGUCGCAACAUAACUGGGUGACUAUAGAGAUGCUCUACAGGUAUCUCCGAAGGUGUUCGUUGAGUUAGUAUGGAUCGAGACUGGGAUUUGUCACUCCGUGUGACGGACAGGUAUCUCGGGGCCCACUCGGUAAUACAACAUCAUGAGCUCAAUGUGACUAAGGAGUUAGUCACACGAUGACGUGCUACGGAACGAGUAAAGAGACUUACCGGUAUCGAGAUUGAACAAGGUAUAGCUAUACCGACAAUCGAAUCUCGGGCAAGUUCUAUACCGACAGACAAAGGGAAUCGUAUACGGGAUUGAUUGAAUCCNNNNNNNNNNNNNNNNNNNNNNNNNNNNNNNNNNNNNNNNNNNNNNNNNNNNNNNNNNNNNNNNNNNNNNNNNNNNNNNNNNNNNNNNNNNNNNNNNNNNUCCGCCUUCUCGCUAUCCGUCGGAUUUGAUACGAUCGAUCAACCAAAUUUCUUUCUCUAUUUUGCAAUAAAUGUGUUUUUACGGAAACAUUUGCAACACAACUUUUUUUGUGGUUUUUUUUGUAACACAGAUUGUAUUGCUGGAUUUUUUUGGCAACAUAAGUCGUAUUGCGGGGGUUUUUUUUUUGCAACAUCGAUCGUGUUGCAUAAUUUUUUUGUCAUCCUUAGUCCGAGCCGCUAUGAAAUCUAGUCCCUGUUCAUUUUGCAACAACGGGCUAGUUGCAAAAUCAUUUUCUGAAACAAUGAACCAAUUGCAGCGCUGACACUGAAAGAUUAACGUCGAACCGUUGAUUAAGAGUCAUCCAACGGACACAAAGAUGACGAACGCUCACAUUGCGUCGGCCCGGUAAUUAUUUCCCAUGAAAAGAAACUAGACAUGUAUUGAAAAACUCAAACCCAAUGAAAACCGACAAAAGAAACAAAAAAGGAAAGCGAAGAAACCAAAUAAACGGAAGAAAGCAAAGCAAGAAGCAGAACAUGGCAUGGCGCGUAUCAUCACAAUGUGCCUGACUUUUUCGGAAACCCUAUUUAGCGCUACAGGCGCCGGUUGCAGGCAAAAUUUGCUAACUGGCGCCUGCAGCGCUCCGCAAUGGGCCGGCCCAUGUAGAGGUCCUUCAUGAACCUUUUUUAGCCCGUGAACUUUUUUUGAAACCGGUGAACUUUUCUGAAAUCAAUGAUUUUAUUUGGAAAUUCGUGAGCAUUUUCGAAAAUCAACGAAAGUAACUUAAAUGCAUGAACUUUAAAAAUCAGUGAACUGUUUAAAAACUGAUGAACUUUUUUCNNNNNNNNNNNNNNNNNNNNNNNNNNNNNNNNNNNNNNNNNNNNNNNNNNNNNNNNNNNNNNNNNNNNNNNNNNNNNNNNNNNNNNNNNNNNNNNNNNNNAAGCUUGAACAACCUUUCAAUGUCAUACCUCUAAAAUAGUAUCUAUAAUCGGGGAAGUGUUGGCGUAUGCGACUAAGGGCCUAAAAAAGAAGGAUAAGUCCACCUGGAAGGGGGUAUGCAACUAGAGGGUCUAAACAAGGAGAGGUCCAACUAGAAGGCUGCAUGCAUAUAUGCUCACGGCUUAAACAUCAUGGAAUCAACUGAAUGAAUAACAUGGCCUUCAAUCAAAAUUUCUCCUUGCAUGACGAUGUUGUCACUGAAUGCUGAUGAUGCAAGGUGCUGAAAGUUGGCUCGAUUGACAAAAUGCACUUGGAGAUCUCUUCAAUCCACCCGAUUACCCAAGCUUCCGCUUCUUUAGAGGUUAGCUGUGUACCUUCAAUUCCUAGUUUUUCUUGGUUCUAAAACAUAAUUCCUUUUUAUUAUUUAUUUCUUGUUUAUAGAUAAGCUAUAUGUUAGUCUAGCUCAUGCUUGGGUGGUGCAGCACUUGGUCCUUGAACCUCGCCUCGAUGCAUUUUCUCCAACCCCUUCUUACCUCAAAAAAGNNNNNNNNNNNNNNNNNNNNNNNNNNNNNNNNNNNNNNNNNNNNNNNNNNNNNNNNNNNNNNNNNNNNNNNNNNNNNNNNNNNNNNNNNNNNNNNNNNNNAGAUCAGAGGUGGAAAACUAAUAAUAAAGGAUCUGAGCAUAAUUUCUUCCACCAAGUAAUCCAACAAGCAUCAACUACAAGAUGUAAUCAACACAACUAGUAACCCACAUGUACCAAUCCGAGGUUUUAAGACAAAGAUUGAAUACAAUAGAUGAAUUAGAGUUGGAGAUGAGAUGGUGCUGGUGAAGAUCUUGAUGAAGGUUGGUCCUCCCACGAAGGAGGAAGCAUUGGUGAUGAAAAUGGCUUUGAUUUCCCCCUUCCGGAGGGAAGUUUCCCCGACAGAAUCUCUCAGCGGGAGAGAAAAGGCCCCUGCCAUGGUUUCCGCCUCAGUACGGCGGCACUUUAUCCUGAAAGGUAUCUUAUGUUUUUUUGCCUUUUUCUCAGUUUCCCGGUCCAGAAUUCCAGUUUACAGAUAUUUCCCUCUUUAUGGUAAACCUUGCAUAUUCAAAGAGAAAGAACAUAAGAAUUAUACGAUAAUAGGGAAAAAUGUACAAGAAUAAAACAAAUAUCAAUAAUAAUUCAUGAUGCAAAAUGGAUGUAUCAACUCCCCCAAGCUUAGACCUCGCUUGUACUCAAGCGAAAGCCGAACUCGAAAAUAAUGACCACAUGAUUUGAUAGAGAGGUGUCAAUAAAAACAAAAUACGAACAUGAGAGCAUCAUGAAUAUUAGCAAAGCAGCAAGUAUUUUAUCAUAUAGUUCCUCAUAAACAAGUAAUAAUCCAUUCACAACUAUUGGAGUAAGAAACAUAAACUUUAUUGACAAUCAACAAAGUAUGUUCUCAGUCAUUGGGACAAUCAUAAUUCAUCAUAUUUCAAAGGAGAGUCUAUGUAAGAGCUUUCUUUUUGGCAAGUUCACAUACUCAACUAUCAUUUAGUCUUUUGUGACCCUGUUUGGAACCACAAUAGAUUAUGAUAAUCUGGAUUAUGAAGAUAGAUUAUGUAAUUAGGUUUAAAAAAUAAUCUAGGUGGACAUGUUUGGAGGCCAGAUUAUAUAAACUGUAAUCCAGAUUUUAACAUUGCAUAAUAACCUGUGUGUCCUGUGCGCGCGCUAAGGAGAAAAAAAGAGGAGGGUGGCGGUGGCAGAAAUUAGUAAUUACCUCCAACUUUACAAGGAUAAUGCGUCAUUAGCAAUCCAUAAUCUGGUUUUAUCUGGGGUAGAGUAGAUUGUGAGUUUUUAAUAAUUUGUCCAUCUAGUUUUAAUAAUCUACAACAUAAUCUGUCAUGUUUGGAGACAUUAUAAAUUAUAAAAACUGGAUUAUCAUAAUCUGAGUGGUUCCAAACAGGGCCUAUGAUUGCUCACACUCAAGACAUAUUUUUGGGGCUCAUGUUUCCAUAGCACACAUAGGAAUAUAGGGGCAUAAAUGAUUUGCCACCCAACUUAUCUACCUCAAGUAUAAUGUCAACAACAUGUGUCAUGAUCAUCUACAUCCACUUGGAUAUAUAUGUCUCGAUCUUUCCUCAACAUGUGUUGCCUGCCAGUAUAGAGUUAAUAGGUAGGAAGAGGAAUAAACUUUAUUGACUCACACACAGGAAUGAACACCUGAAGAUAAAAGAUAGGCCAUUCACAGAGGGAAACAUAUGUUGUCAUGCACUUUUAAAUUUUUGGAUGUGCACACUCUUAAUGCAAAUGAACGCUACUUUAUAUUGCCCCUUGUGAUAGCAAACUUUAUUAUGGAGUCCAUCGCUCUUAUUUCUUUGACAUCACAAGAUAGUACAAAGCUUAUCUUCCCUUACAAUAGAAGAUCAUAUAUCUUUAGGAGCAAUUUAUUUAUUGCUUGAUGCACCGAUGGAAGCUUACUUGAAGGAUCAUACCCAAUCCAUAGGUAGGUAUGGUGGACUCUCAUCGCAGAGACUGGGUUUCAGGGUUAUGGAUGCACAAGUAGUAUCUCUACUUAGUGUGGAAUUUUUGGGCUAGAAAUAAUCUAAAGCAAGCACCACAUGUUAAAGGAUCCACAACCAUAUAACUUCUGUGUGAAUGUAAACUGUCAUAAACAUUAUGUUGUCUUCCAUGUCCAACAUUAACACUUGAUCAUUAUAUAAUAUUUGGUGAGGGCUCACAAUCAUAAGAGAUGUACAAGAUAGUGUAUUUAUAUUUGAGUCUUCUCUCCUUUAUCAUAAUCUUUCUUAGAUUGCAUCAAUGACUAAUACUAUGUUUGUUUACUAUCAACAACUUUUAUCACUUAUACCCUUUUUCGUGUGAAGUCAUUAAUUCUCAUGAGAUAAGCAUAUGAUCUUUCUAUUUAUUUUUAUUGCCAUGCUAUGAUGAUGGGUGCAUACAAGUAAAGCACACAAGCUCAACUAACCUUUAUUACAUAACUCUCAUAAUAGAUUACUAGGAUAGAUGGAUCUCAAAGCAAAAAUUCUAAGCAAAGCAAAUCUGAAAUUUAUUUCUCUAAAUCACGAAACAACUAAGGGUCGAAGUAAGAUAGAUGGUAAUGAUGGAAGUGAUGGUGAUAUGAUACCAGGGCACCUCCCUCAAGCUUGGAACAAGCUAAGGGUGGUGCCCAUACCCAUGUACUCACACGUCCCUCUCAGGUGAUGAUGGUGAUGAUGCGGCAGGUUGGUCUUCCGCCUUCCAAGGCAUUGGCUAACCAUCAUAGAAAGAAAAACUUGUCUCCGGGACCCUUAAAUGAGUAGCAAUGCUCAUCCUCUUAAACCUCAAUCCAUACUCACAGUUUUGGCUUUCGAGGUCAAAGAUUUGAGCUUGAAGGUAUUCAAUCUGCUAUUGAAGCUUGCAUGCNNNNNNNNNNNNNNNNNNNNNNNNNNNNNNNNNNNNNNNNNNNNNNNNNNNNNNNNNNNNNNNNNNNNNNNNNNNNNNNNNNNNNNNNNNNNNNNNNNNNGUUGACAACUAAUUCAAACGAGGCACGGAAUAAAUCCUACGAAUUAAGCAAAAGGGCAUCACGGCAAAAUAUCUCGCGAACUAACUCCCUCAAAAGCUGAAACUAAUUGCACAGAAAAAUCCCUGGGAUUUUUCUACCCCGGUAACAUAUAUAAUAUGUGAGGUUUGCAACACAAAAUAACGCCACACAAUAAAGCGGGAGAAUAACCUAUAUACGGGAAAAACAACUACCGGCAAUCCCCUACAUGUAAAAAUACAAUCGACCCCUCUAGAAUACAUAGAAAUAUGGUCCCUAACACAUGGACAUUUUAUCUACGGCAUACGGGCAAAUCAAACACGCGCGGAAAUAACUACGGGCAACAAACCUAUCUGGACAGCACGUAAAACUAGGCAUUUGGCGCGUUAAACUAGCUCAAAUAAUUAUGCAAGUUUUUAUAAACGGGUCCUACGCGAAAAGUUACACGAAAAGCAUAUAAAGAACAACGCGAUCCGACUCACGGAUCAAAAGAUACAUGCGUUUGAAAUCUAGUCUAAACUCUGAAAAGAAUAAAAACACAGGAAUAUAUAAAAACCCUACACGGGCCGAAUCUGAUGCUAAAUGGGCCUACAGCGCAUGGGCGUUACAUAAAAUAAAAUGCACACGGGUGAGGGCUCUCACCUCGGCCACUUGGGCCGGCCUGGAGAGAGGGGCAGCCGGACUGGUCGGCUCGGGCCGGCUUGGAGGCGGCGGGAGUUGGGCCGCGGCCUGGAGAGCGGAGAAGCCAGCUGGGCCUGGCGAGCUGGGCCGAGGGGAGGUGGGCCUCGAUCGGUGGCCAGCCCAGGAACGAUGGAGGUCGUCCUCCUCCUCCCGUGCGGGCGUUCGAGGGAGGCGCCCAUGGCGGCCGGCAGCAUCCUCGGCGAGGGAGCGACGAGGGAGGGCGCCGGUCUAGGGGAACCGGCUGUUCCCACCAGAUCCGGCCGGUUCGGGUCCAUUCCCGGCCGCGUCGAGGCUUGAGGCGGCGGCUGCAAGGUCAGGCGGCGGCGCGAUGGGUUGCAGCAACGUUGACCUUCCUCGGGGCGGCGCUGCAGGCAGAGAACUGGGCAGUUAGACGGCGAGGAGCCGCGGGCUCGGCUCUCCGGCAAGGUCCAUGGCGGCGGCGGUGGCACACCCGACGGCGGGGCGAGGCCGCGGGACCUGGUCGAUCUGCUGCCUCCGGGCGAGCUCGGGAGGAGCGGCAGCGCGAUUCGGGCCGAGGGCGGGCCUGCUGCGGGCUUGGGCGGGCCCGGCGGUGCUGGCAGGGGAGAGAGAGGUGGGGCGGCGCGGCUAGGGUUUCGGGCGCGGACAAUGAGGCAGGUUUAGGGGGAGGCUGUCCGAAAAUUAGAAGGGGUCUAUAUAUAGGCAAACCGGGGGGCUCGGUUGACCGGAAUUUCGUUCCGGAUCCAACCGCGGGGUCGGAUUCGGACGACUCCGAACGCGGGAACGGGUACCCGGCCGUGUAGAGGGGUAUCCGGAGACGAGAGGGAGAACGGGCGAUGCGGCACGAAUUUAAAAACAUCAACAAACGUCCGACGAAUAACAGAAGACGGUGCUGCUACGGGCGACCGUUCGGGUACCAGACGGUCUCCGAUCGCGACGAAAUUCGACGGGCGGCCUCGCUAUAACUAAUCACGACCGCACGUCAAAUCUCAACCCGAUCAGAGAAAGUUUUAAACGCACUUUAAAAACAGGGUUUCGACGGUGCCGCGGGCGCGUGCGUGUGCGGUCGGACUCAGAACGGACAACGGCGUGAACCGGCAACUACUAACGAAUGGAAGUUUUGAAAACGGGCGGCAACGAAGAUGCCGAUGCAAUGCAGAUGAUGCGCAUGAUGCGAUGAUGAUGCGGCAACUGAAAAUACGCACACGACGAAAACGGAAAGAAAAGGGGAAGCUUCUGGAACGUCGGUCUCGGGCUGUCACACUAUGGCAAUGGCCCCAGUGUUAUCACAGAAGAGUGUCAUUGGACCCGACGCGCUUGGAACCACUCCAAGGUCGGUGAUGAGCUCCUUCAUCCAAAUUCCUUCGCGAGCUGCUUCUGAAGCAGCUAUGUAUUCCGCUUCACAUGUAGAUGCUGCCAUGACUUCUUGCUUGCUGCUGCACUAGCUCACUGCCCCACCAUUCAAAACAUAUACGUAUCCGGUCUGUGACUUAGAGUCAUCCGGAUCUGUGUCAAAGCUAGCGUCGACGUAACCUUUUACGACGAGCUCUUCGUCACCUCCAUAAACGAGAAACAUCUCCUUAGUCCUCUUCAGGUACUUAAGGAUAUUCUUGACCACUGUCCAAUGUUCCAUACCGGGAUCACUUUGGUACCUCCCUACCAAACUUAUGGCAAUGUUUAUAUCAGGUCUGGUACACAGCAUGGCAUACAUUAGAGAGCCUACGGCUGAAGCGUAGGGGACAAUACUUGUCUUCUCUCUAUCUGCUGCCGUGGUCGGUGACUGAGUCUUACUCAAUCUCAUACCUUGCAAAACUGGCAAGAACCCUUUCUUUGAGUUUUCCAUAUUGAACUUCUUCAAUAUCUUGUCAAGGUAUGUACUUUGCGAAAGACCUAUGAGGCGUCUCGAUCUAUCUCUAUAGAUCUUGAUGCCUAAUAUGUAUGCAGCUUCUCCAAGGUCCUUCAUUGAAAAACUCUUGUUCAAAUAGGCCUUUAUGAUCUCCAACAUCUCUAUAUUAUUCCCCAUCAAUAAUAUGUCAUCCACAUACAGUAUGAGGAAAGCUACAGAGCUCCCACUCACUUUCUUGUAUAGACAGGCUUCUCUGUAAACCUGUAUGAACCCAAACGCUUUAAUCACCUCAUUAAAGCGAAUGUUCCAACUCCGAGAUGCUUGCACCAGCCCAUAGAUGGAGCGCUGGAGCUUGCACACUUUGUUAGCACCCUUAGGGUCGACAAAACCUUCUGGUUGCAUCAUAUACAACUCUUCCUUAAGGUUCCCGUUAAGGAACGUUGUUUUGACGUCCAUUUGCCAAAUUUCAUAAUCAUAAAAGGCGGCAAUUGCUAACAUGAUUCGGACUGAUUUCAGCUUCGUUAUGGGAGAGAAAGUCUCUUCGUAGUCAACUCCUUGAAUUUGUCGAAAACCCUUUGCGACAAGUCGAGCUUUGUAAACGGUUACAUUACCGUUUGCAUCAGUCUUCUUCUUGAAGAUCCAUUUAUUUUCUAUGGCUCGCCGGUCAUCGGGCAAGUCCACCAAAGUCCAUACUUUGUUCUCAUACAUGGAUCCUAUCUCGGAUUUCAUAGCCUCAAGCCAUUUGUUGGAAUCCUGGCCCGCCAUCGCUUCUUCAUAGUUUGAAGGUUCACCGUUGUCUAACAACAUGAUUUCCAUCACAGGGUUGCCGUACCACUCUGGUGCGGAGCGUGCCCUUGUGGACCUUCGCGGUUCAGUAGUAACUUGAUCCGAAGCUUCAUGAUUAUCAUCAUUAACUUCCUCUUCAGUCGGUGUAGGCGCCACAGGAACAACUUCCCGUGCUGCGCUACUAUCCUAUUCGAGAGGGGGUGUAAUUACCUCAUCAAGUUCUACCUUCCUCCCACUUACUUCUUUCGAGAGAAACUCUUUCUCUAGAAAGGAUCCGUUCUUGGCAACAAAGGUUUUACCUUCAGAUCUAAGAUAGAAGGUAUACCCAAUAGUUUCCUUAGGGUAUCCUAUGAAUACGCAUUUCUCCGUUUUGGGUUCGAGCUUUUCUGGUUGAAGUUUCUUCACAUAAGCAUUGCAGCCCCAAACUUUAAGAAACGACAACUUAGGUUUCUUGCCAAACCGUAGAUCAUACGGUGUCGUCUCAACGGAUUUAGACGCUGCCCUAUUUAAAGUGAAUGCUGCAGUUUCUAAUGCGUAUCCCAAAAUGAUAGCGGUAAGUCGGUAAGAGACAUCAUAGAUCGUACCAUAUCUAAUAAAGUGCGAUUACGACGUUCACACACUCCAUUGCGUUGCGGUGUGCUAGGCGGCGUCAGUUGUGAAACGAUUCCACACUUCCUUAGGUCUGUUCCAAACUCGCGACUCAAAUAUUCUCCUCCACGAUCAGAUCGUAGACAUUUAAUUUUCUGUCACGUUGAUUCUCAACCUCAUUCUGAAAUUCCUUGAACUUUUCAAACGUCUCAGAUUUGUGCUUCAUCAAGUAGAUAUACCCAUACCUACUCAAAUCAUCGGUGAGAGUGAGAACCUAACGAUAACCACCGCGAGCUUCAACGUUCAUUGGACCACACAUAUCAGUAUGUAUUAUUUCCAAUAAGUCGGUUGCUCUCUCCAUUAUUCCUGAGAAUGGAGUCUUAGUCAUCUUGCCCAUGAGGCACGGUUCGUAUGUGUCAAAUGAUUCAAAAUCAAGAGACUCUAAUAGUCGAUCAGUAUGGAGCUUCUUCAUGCGCUUAACGCCGAUGUGACCAAAGCGGCAGUGCCACAAGUAUGUGGGACUAUCAUUAUCAACUUUACAUCUUUUGGUACUCACACUAUGAAUAUGUGUAACAUCACGAUCGAGAUUCAUCAAGAACAAACCAUUCACCAGCGGAGCAUGACCAUAAAACAUAUCACUCAUAUAAAUAGAACAACCAUUAUUCUCUGACUUAAAUGAGUAGCCGUCUCGCAUUAAGCAAGACCCUGAUACAAUGUUCAUGCUUAAAGCUGGUACUAAAUAACAAUUAUUAAGGUUUAAAACUAAUCCCGAUGUUAGAUGUAGAGGUAGCGUGCCGACGGCGAUCACAUCGACCUUUGAACCAUUCCCGACGCGCAUCGUCACCUCGUCCUUGGCCAGUCUCCGCUUAUUCCGCGGUUCCUGCUUUGAGUUGCAAAUGUGAGCAACAGCACCGGUAUCAAAUACCCAGGAGCUACUACGAGCGCUGGUAAGGUACACAUCAAUAAUAUGUAUAUCACAUAUACCUUUAACGUUGCCGGCCUUCUUGUCCGCUAAGUAUUUGGGGCAGUUCCGCUUCUAGUGACCCUUUCCCUUGCAAUAGAAGCACUCAGUCUCAGGCUUGGGUCCGUUCUUUUCUUCUUCCCGGCAUCUGGCUUACCAGGCGCGGCAACAGCUUUGCCGUCUUUCUUGAAGUUCUUCUUACCCUUGCCUUUCUUGAAACUAGUGGUCUUGUUGACCAUCAACACUUGAUGCUCUUUCUUGAUUUCUACUUCUGCAGACUUGAGCAUCGAGUACAACUCGGGAAUGGUCUUAUCCAUCCCUUGCAUGUUGUAGUUAAGCACAAAGCCUUUGUAGCUUGGUGGGAGAGACUGGAGGAUUCUGUCAAUUAUAGCAUCAUCCGGAAGUUCGACUCCAAGUGAAGUCAGACGACCGUGUAACCCAGACAUUUUGAGUAUGUGCUCACUGGCAGAAAUGUUCUCCUCCAUCUUACAGCUAAAGAACUUGUCAGAGACUUCAUAUCUCUCGACACGGGCAUGAGCUUGAAAAACUAGCUUCAGCUCCUUGAACAUCUCAUAUGCCCCGUGUUUCUCAAAACGCCUUUGGAGCCCCGUUUCUGAACUGUAUAACAUGCCACACCUAACCAGAGAGUAAUCAUCACUCCGCGUUUGCCAGACGUUCAGAAUGUCCUGGGCUGCUGCGGGGGCGGGAGGGUCACCUAGCGGCGCAUCAAGGACAUAAGCCUUUUUAGCUGCUUCAAGGAUGAGCUUCAAGUUGCGAACCCAGUCCGCAUAGUUGCUACCAUCAUCUUUCAACUUGUUUUUCUCUAGGAAUGCGUUGAAAUUGAGGUUGACGUUGGACAUCUACAAUAUUUAUAAAGACAACUUUUUAGACUAAGUUCAUGACAAUUAAGUUCAUUUAAUCAAAUUAAGUAUGAACUCCCACUUAAAUCAACAUCCCUCUAGUCAUCUAAGUGAUACAUGAUCCAUGUUGACUAACCCGUGUCCGAUCAUCACGUGAGACGGACUAGUCACCAUGGUGAGCAACUCCAUGCUGAUCGUAUUCAACCAUACGACUCAUGUUCGACCUUUCGGUCUCUUGUAUUCGAGGUCAUGUCUGUACAUGCUAAGCUCGUCGAGUCAACCUAGGUGUUUCGCGUGUGUAAAUCUAGCUUGCACCCGUUGUAUGCGAACGUUAGAAUCUAUCACACCCGAUCAUCACGUGGUGCUUCGAGACAAUAAACCUUCGCAACGGUGCACACUUAGGGGAAUACGUUCUCGAAAUUUUAAGAGGGAUCAUCUUAUUAUGCUACCUUCGUUCUAAGCAAUAAUAUGUAAAACAUGAUAAACAUCACAAUGCAAUCAUAUAGUGACAUGAUAUGGCCAUUAUCAUAUUUGCUCUUUCGAUCUCCAUCUUCAGGCAUCGCAUGAUCAUCGUCGUCACCGGCGUGACACCAUGAUCUCCAUCAUCAUGAUCUCCAUCAUCGUGUCUCCGUGAAGUCGUCACGCCAACUACUACUAUCACUACUACUAUAGCUAACCGUUAGCAAUGAAGUAAAAGUAGUAAGCACAUGGCGUUGCAUCUCAUACAAUAAAUUAAGACAACUCCUAUGGCUCCAGCCGGUUGUCAUACUCAUCGACAUGCAAGUCGUGAAACCUAUUACAAUAACAUGAUCAUCUCAUACAUCAUACAUGCAACAUCACAACUUUGGCCAUGUCACAUCACAUGUCAAACCCUGCAAAACAAGUUAGACGUCCUCUAAUUGUUGUUGCAAGUUUUACGUGGUUGAUUUUGGUUUCUAGCAAGAACGCCUUCUUACCUACGUGACAGCCACAACGAUGAUAUGCCAAAGCUAUUUACCCUUCAUAAGGACCCUUUUCAUCAAAUCCAAUCCGACUAGAGUAGGAGAGACAGACACCCGCUAGCCACCUUUAUGCACGGUGUGCAUGUCUGUCGGUGGAACCAGUCUCACGUAAGCGUACGUGUAAAGUCGGUCCGGGCCGCUUCAUCCCACAAUACCGCCGGAAAAUAAUAAGACUAGUAGCGGCAAGCAAGUUGACAAAUCAUCGCCCACAACUUUGGUGUUCUACUCGUGCAUAGAAUCUAUGCAUAGAAAACCUGGCUCGGAUGCCACUGUUGGGUAACGUAGCAUAAAUUCAAAAUUUUCCUACGCAUAUUCAGAUCUUCCUAUGGAGAGACCAGCAACGAGAGAGGGGUAAGAGCAUCUUCAUACCUUUGAAGAUCGCUAAGCAGAAGCGUUGCUAGAACGUGGUUGAUGGAGUCGUACUCGCAACGAUUCCGAUCUAGUGCCGAACUACGGCACCUCCGCGUUCAACACACGUGCAGCCCGGUGACGUCUCCCACACCUUGAUCCAGCAAGGAGGAGGGAGAGGUUGGGGAAGAACUCCAGCAGCACGACAGCGUGGUGUCGAUGGAGAGACGAGGUCUCCCGGCAGGGCUUCGCCAAGCACCGGCAGAGAGGACCAGAAAGAAGAGCAGGGCUGCGCCGAGGGAGAGGGAAAAGUCUGUCUCUCAAUGGCCAAAAGUGCCCGAUAUAUAUAGGGGGAGGGGAGAGGGGGUGCCACCCCUAGGUUUCCCACCCUAGGGGGUGCGGCAGCCCCCCUAGAUGGGAGGUGCGGCGGCCAGAGGGGGGAGGUGGGGGUGGCGCACCAUCUGGUGGGCCUUAGGCACACCUGGCUUAGGGUUUGCCCCCCUUUUUCUCUCCCCUGCGCAUUGGGCUGAGUGGGGAGGCGCACCAGCCCACCUAGGGGCUGGUUCCCACCCCCACUUGGCCCACCUUACCACCCGGGGUCGUUGCCCCCCUUCGGUGGUCCCCCGGGGCCACCUCCGGUGGUCCCGGUACGUUACCAGUGAUGCCCGAAACACUUCCGGUGUCCGAAACCAUCCGUCCUAUAUAUCAAUCUUUACCUUCGGACCAUUCCGGAGCUCCUCGUGACGUCCGGGAUCUCAUCUGGGACUCCAAACAUCUUUCGGUAACCUCGUAUAACGAUUCCCUAUGACCCUAGCGUCAUCGAACCUUAAGUGUGUAGACCCUACGGGUUCGGGAGACAAGCAGACAUGACCGAGACACCUCUCUGGCCAAUAACCAUCAGCGGGGUCUGGAUACCCAUGGUGGCUCCCACUUGCUCCACGAUGAUCUCAUCGGAUGAACCACGAUGUCAAGGAUUCAAUCAAUCCCGUAUACGAUUCCCUUUGUCUGUCGGUAUAGAACUUGCCCGAGAUUCGAUUGUCGGUAUAGCUAUACCUUGUUCAAUCUCGAUACCGGUAAGUCUCUUUACUCGUUCCGUAGCACGUCAUCGUGUGACUAACUCCUUAGUCACAUUGAGCUCAUGAUGAUGUUCUACCGAGUGGGCCCAGAGAUACCUCUCCGUCACACGGAGUGACAAAUCCCGAUCUCGAUUCGUACCAACCCAACAGACACUUUCAGAGGUACCCGUAGUGCACCUUUAUAGUCACCCAGUUACGUUGUGACGUUUGAUACACCCAAAGCACUCCUACGGUAUCCGGGAGUUGCACAAUCUCACGGUCGAAGGAAAAGAUACUUGACAUUAGAAAAGCUUUAGCAUACGAACACUACGAUCUAGUGCUAUGCUCAGGAUUGGGUCUUGUCCAUCACAUCAUUCUCCAAUGAUGUGAUCCCGUUAUCAAUGACAUCUAAUGCCCAUGAUCAGGAAACCAUGAUCAUCUAUUGACUAACGAGCUAGCCAACUAGAGGCUUGCUAGGGACACAUUGUGAUCUAUCUAUUCACACAUGUAUUACUGUUUCCUGUUAAUACAAUUAUAGCAUGAACAAUAGACGAUUAUCAUGAACAAGGAAAUAUGAUAAUAACCAUUUUAUUAUUGCCUCUAGGGCAUAUUUCCAAUAGUCUCCCACUUGCACUAGAGUCAAUAAUCUAGUUACAUUGUGAUGUAUCGAACACCCAUAACAUUAUGGUGUUGAUCAUGUUUUUGCUCGUGGAAGAGGUUUAGUCAACGGGUCUGCAAUAUUCAGAUCCGUGUGUACUUUACAAAUAUCUAUCACUCCACUCUGGACAUGGUCCUGGAUGGAGUUGUAGCGGCGUUUGAUGUGCUUCGUCUUCCGGUGAAACCUGGGCUCCUUGGCUAUGGCAAUGGCUCCAGUGUUAUCACAGAAGAGUGUCAUUGGACCCGACGCGCUUGGAACCACUCCAAGGUCGGUGAUGAGCUCCUUCAUCCAAAUUCCUUCAUGAGCUGCUUCUGAAGCAGCUAUGUACUCCGCUUCACAUGUAGAUUCUGCCACGACUUCGUGCUUGCUACUGCACCAGCUCACUGCCCCACCAUUCAACACAUAUACGUAUCCGGUCUGUGACUUAGAGUCAUCCGGAUCUGUGUCGAAGCUAGCGUCGACGUAACCCUUUACGACGAGCUCUUCGUCACCUCCAUAAACGAGAAACAUUUCCUUAGUCCUUUUCAGGUACUUAAGGAUAUUCUUGACCGCUGUCCAGUGUUCCAUAUCGGGAUCACUUUGGUACCUCCCUACCAAACUUAUGGCAAGGUUUAUAUCAGGUCUGGUACACAGCAUGGCAUACAUUAGAGAGCCCACGGCUGAAGCGUAGGGGACAAAAGUCAUCUUCUCUCUAUCUGCUGCCGUGGUCGGCGGCUGAGUCUUACUCAAUCUCAUACCUUGCAAAACUGGAAGAACCCUUUCUUUGAGUUUUCCAUAUUGAACUUCUUCAAUAUCUUGUCAAGGUAUGUACUUUGCGAAAGUCCUAUGAGGCGUCUCGAUCUAUCUCUAUAGAUCUUGAUGCCUAAUAUGUAUGCAGCUUCUCCAAGGUCCUUCAUUGAAAAACUCUUGUUCAAAUAGGCCUUUAUGCUCUCCAACGUCUCUAUAUUAUUCCCCAUCAAUAAUAUGUCAUCCACAUACAGUAUGAGGAAAGCUACAGAGCUCCCACUCACUUUCUUGUACAGACAGGCUUCUCCAUAAACCUGUAUGAACCCAAACACUUUAAUCACCUCAUUAAAGCGAAUGUUCCAACUCCGAGAUGCUUGCACCAGCCCAUAGAUGGAGCGCUGGAGCUUGCACACUUUGUUAGCACCCUUAGGGUCGACAAAACCUUCUGGUUGCAUCAUAUACAACUCUUCCUUAAGGUUCCCGUUAAGGAACGUUGUUUUGACGUCCAUUUGCCAAAUUUCAUAAUCAUAAAAGGCGGCAAUUGCUAACAUGAUUCGGACUGAUUUCAGCUUCGUUAUGGGAGAGAAAGUCUCUUCGUAGUCAACUCCUUGAAUUUGUCGAAAACCCUUUGCGACAAGUCGAGCUUUGUAAACGGUUACAUUACCGUUUGCAUCAGUCUUCUUCUUGAAGAUCCAUUUAUUUCUAUGGCUCGCCGGUCAUCGGGCAAGUCCACCAAAGUCCAUACUUUGUUCUCAUACAUGGAUCCUAUCUCGGAUUUCAUAGCUUCAAGCCAUUUGUUGGAAUCCGGGCCCGCCAUCGCUUCUUCAUAGUUCGAAGGUUCACCAUUGUCUAACAACAUGAUUUCCAUUACAGGGUUGCCGUACCACUCUGGUGCGGAGCGUACCCUUGUGGACCUUCGUGGCUGAGUAGUAACUUGAUCCGAAGCUUCAUGAUCAUUAUCAUUAACUUCCUCUUCAGUUGGUGUAGGCGCCACAAGAACAACUUCCCGUGCUGCGCUACUAUCCUGUUCGAGAGGGGGUGUAGUUACCUCAUCAAGUUCUACCUUCCUCCCACUUACUUCUUUUGAGAGAAACUCUUUCUCUAGAAAGGAUCCGUUCUUGGCAACAAAGGUUUUACCUUCGGAUCUAAGAUAGAAGGUAUACCCAAUAGUUUCCUUAGGGUAUCCUAUGAAUACACAUUUCUCCGCUUUGGGUUUGAGCUUUUCUCGUUGAAGUUUCUUCACAUAAGCAUCGCAGCCCCAAACUUUAAGAAACGACAACUUAGGUUUCUUGCCAAACCAUAGUUCAUACGGUGUCGUCUCAACGGAUUUUGACGGUGCCCUAUUUAAAGUGAAUGCUGCAGUUUCUAAUGCGUAUCCCCAAAAUGAUAGCGGUAAGUCGGUAAGAGACAUCAUAGAUCGUACCAUAUCUAAUAAAGUGCGAUUACGACGUUCAGACACUCCGUUGCGUUGCGGUGUGCCAGGCGGCGCCAGUUGUGAAAUGAUUCCACACUUCCUUAGGUGUGUGCCAAACUCGUGACUCAAAUAUUCUCCUCCACGAUCAGAUCGUAGACACUUAAUUUUUCUGUCACGUUGAUUCUCGACCUCUCUCUGAAAUUCCUUGAACUUUUCAAACGUCUCAGAUUUGUGCUUCAUCAAGUAGAUAUACCCAUACCUACUCAAAUCAUCGGUGAGAGUGAGAACAUAACGAUAACCACCGCGAGCUUCAACGUUCAUUGGACCACACACAUCAGUAUGUAUUAUUUCCAAUAAGUCGGUUGCUCUCUCCGUUAUUCCUGAGAAUGGAGUCUUAGUCAUCUUGCCCAUGAGGCACGGUUCGCAUGUGUCAAAUGAUUCAAAGUCAAGAGACUCUAAUAGUUCAUCAGUAUGGAGCUUCUUCAUGCGCUUAACACCGAUAUGACCAAGGCGACAGUGCCCCAAGUAUAUGGGACUAUCAUUAUCAACUUUACAUCUUUUGGUACUCACACUAUGAAUAUGCGUAACAUCACGAUCGAGAUUCAUCAAGAAUAAACCAUUCACCAGCAGAGCAUGAUGUGACAGCCCGAUGCCGACGUUCCAGAAGAUUCCCCUCUCUUUCCCUUUUCGUCGUGUGCCUAUUUUCUUUUGUCACAUCAUCAUCGCAUCAUGCGCAUCAUCUGCAUUGCAUCGGCAUCUCCGUUGCCGCCAGUUUUCAAAACUUGCAUCCGUUAUUAGUUGCCGCUUCUCUUCGCGUUCGUCGUUGUUCGUUCCGAGCCUGACCGCACACGCACGCGCCCGCGGCACCGUCGAAACCCUGUUUUAAAAGCGCGUUUAAAACUUUCGCUGAUCAAGGUGAGACUUGGCACGCGGUCGUGAUUAGUUAUAGCUAGGCCGCCUGUCGAAUUUCGUCGCGAUCGGAGUUCGUUUGGUACCCGAACGGUCGACCGUAGCGGCACCGUAUUCGAUCCACCGUCGGACGUCUGUCGGUGUUUUAAAAUUCGUGUCGCGCCGCCCGUUCUCCCUCUCGUCUCCGGAUAUCCCCUCUACACGGCCGCGUACCCAUACCCGCGUUCGGAAUCGUCCGAAUCCGACCCUGCGGUUGGAUCCGGACCGUGAUUCCGGUUAACCGAGCCCCCCCGUUUGUCUAUAUAUACCCCACCAUCACAUUUAGACAGCCAUCCCUAACCUGCCUCAUUUUCCGCGCCCCUAACCCUAGCCUCUCAUCUCUCCCCUGUCUCCCACCAGCAGCCGCUGGGCCCGCGAAGCCCGCGUGGGGCCCACCCGAGCCCAUCCGAGCCCAAAGCUCCCAUCCAUGCCGCCGCCUCGCCCGAGAGCUCUUCCUGGCCGCGCCGCCGCUCCUCCCCGUCGGCGCCGUAGCUUCUCGCUCCGCCACCGUGCGCCCCGCUCGCUGGAGAUCCCCCUUUCCCGGUGACCCCGCUGGCCGGAGCCCCACCCGGUGCCCCGCAGCAGCCCUGCCCUCGCCGGGGACUGCAGCGCCGGCCUACCACCGCGCCAUGCCCUCCGGCCUCCGCGUCGCCAUGCACUGCCGCCGCCCUUGCCCAGAUCCGGAGGCCGCAGGCCAGAUCCAGCCCUCCGGCGCGCCGGCAGCCACCGGAGCCCUGCGUUCCCGCCGCCCUCGCAUCGCUGGGACCUUCUCUCCUCUCGGUCGAGAGCGAGGAGGAGGACAACGUCCCUCGCCCGAGCGCUCCCAGCGCCGAUCCGCCCACGUGGGCCUCCCAACCGUCGUGGCCCAGCUCGCCCCUCCCGCAGCGGCCCAGCGUCCCGUGCCACGGCCCAGCACCCGAGCCGCCUCGUGGGUGAGCGCCAGACCCGCCCAGGCCGAGCGCCUCCCCACGGCCCAGCUCCCACCGCCGGCCCAGUUCGGCCACCUCUCCCUCAGCAGCUCCAGGCCGGCCCACCGAGGUGAGCCUCUUCCCCCCUUAGCAUUAGGUAGAUUCGGCCCAUUAGAUUAAUUAGGUUAUUUUUUCCGGAUUUAAUAAAUUCCAGAAAAUAGAUAUAUUUAAAACGCGUGUAGUUUCUAAACCGUGCAUCGGAUCGGAACGUUUUAAAUAGGGAUUUCGCGUAGAUUACGUUUGUGCACCUUGCGGAUUUGUUCGAUUUAGUUUAGCGUGCCAAAUGCAUUGUUUACCGUGAUGUCUAUAUAGGAUAGACGCUGUAUUUAUUUUUCGCGGUAGGCCGUAUUCCCGAAUGCCGUUUUAGAAAUGCCCAUGCUUUAGGGACCUUUUUUUCCAUGCAUUUUAGAGCGGUCACUCGUAUUUUUGCGUGUAGGAUUUGCCGGUAAUUUAUUUACCCGCGUAUAGGUGUUUAUCUCGCAUUGAAGUGUGGCAUUAUUUUGUGUUGCAAAAACCCACAUAUUUUAUAUGUUCCCGGGGUAGAAAAAUCCCAUGGAUUUUUCUGUACAAUUAGUUUUAGCUUUCGAGUAAGUUAGUUCGCGAGAUAUUUUGCUAUGUUGCCUUUUUGAUUAAUUUGUAGGAUUUAUUGCGUGCGUCGUUUGACGGAGUUGUCAACUAGAGAGUUGAUCUUGGAUGUUUUGUUUAGCCCCUGGUAAUUUUGGUUGCAAUAGAUAUGCAUGUUUAGGUGUGUUUUGCUUGCUCUCAAGUUGCUAGAAAUAGUGCUGUUUUAGAGGAGCUGAAAUAUUUCUAAGUCUGGAAUCUGUUAUAUUUUGUUGCUGUCUUGUCUUGCUUGCAUCUUGUGAUCUGUAGCUCUUUUAAGGUUGGUCCAAAGGAGUUAGUUGCACCCCUUGUGUUUCUCUAGCAUGCUGUAAAGUUUCAUGCCAUUUGGAGCCCUGUAGCUAUAGGUUUUGCUGCUGUCAACAUUGCUUCAGAUCGAAAACUGCACUUUCAUGAGGUGUAAUUUUCACUGAGUCUGAAAUAGUGUGUAAGAUGCCAUUUUUGUGUCUUCUUUCCCUAGUGAUCCAUGAUGCCGUGCUAGUUGUUGUUAGUUGUUUGUAGUAGUGCUUCUUUCCCUCUUCCGUGCCAUGCCUUGCUUGAGCAUGUCGGAGUUGUGUAGCCGUAGUUGUGGGGCGUAGAAAAUGCUACGUGGCUGAUUUUGGCAGAUUGUAGUCAUUUCUUUUUUUGCUCGUAGAUGUUGAACCGUAGCUCCGAUUUGAUUGUGUCCUACAUGGAACUUGCUUAGAAUCUCGUGUAGUUUCAUUUUCUCUUGCUGGUUGUUUGUUUUGAGGUGCUCGUGACCGUCGUUGCACACAUAUUGCAUUCAUGCCAUCAUAUCUUGCGAUGCUUGUAACUUUUGAUCCGUAGCUCCGUUGGAGAUGUUCUUUAUGUGUAGAUUGCCUGAAAUGACGCGUAGAAUCACGUGAACCUAUUUGUUUUGCUGUUUAACAACUAAUUAAAUGCAUUAGUUCAGAUCUGGACAGAAUCGUAAAUUAACGUGUGAGGUCGUCUCGGAGGUGCUAUAUGUCAUUUCCGACCUCAUUUAAAAUGUCUAGAUAGGUAGUUUAAUUUCCGCUUCACCUCUUGCAUGUUUGAAAACAUUAAUAUUGCUGUGUAAAUAACCGGGAGUGAACUAAAUAAUUCAUAUGUGGAGUUUCGUCAAUAUGCAACUCGUUGCAUAUUGAACUUCACUUAAUGUGUAGUGUUUGUUUGUUGUGAAUUAUCAUGCCGUGCCUUGCAUGUUUUCAGCUGCUCAUGCAUCAUAUGUGUUGUGCAUCGUGUGGUGAAUUCCGUGUGUUGAUUUGUGUUUCCGGUUUGGUUCGUCUCGAUAGAGCUCCGCACGCUUGCCGGAUUGUGAGGACCCGUUCGACUACGUCGGUUCGUCUGCUUCACGGAGGCAUUCUUCUUCCAAGCGGGUUCUCAGGCAAGAUAAUCAUUUCCCCAGAUACCAUUACUAUCAUUGCCAUGCUAGUUUACCGUUUCUGUCGAUUAUGUCUCGUUGCCUACCACUUGUUAAAUAUCAGCCUCUCAACAAUGCCAUGUUAACCUUCAACCUGUUCGACCUAGCAAACCACUGAUUGGCUAUGUUACUUCUUGCUUAACCUUGUUGUUAGCGUUGCUAGUUGCAGGUGCUUUGCUUCCAUGUGAAAGCAUGGGUUCCUUGUUAUAUCACCAUAUUUAAAUGCUAUUUAAUUUAAUGGACCUAUAUACUUGGUAAAAGGUGGAAGGCUCGGCCUUUCUAGCCUGGUGUUUUGUUCCACCUUUGCCCCCUUAGUUUCGGCUACCGGUGUUAUGUUCCAUAAUUGAGCGCUCCUAACACGAUCGGGGUUGUUAUGGGGACCCCCUUGAUAAUUCGUUUUAGAUUAAAGCUGGUCUAGCAAGGCCCAACUUUGGUACUACAUUUGCCUAAUAACCUAAUAAUAAUGCAUAGGGACCCACCGGCACCCGUAGACUAUUUUAAUCUACCCCCGGGCCAGUGCUCCUCAUGAGUGUUGGCCCCACCUGAGCGAUGUCCGGCGCCCCUCUGGUCACCCGAAGGUUUAGCGAUCCCGACGUCUAGCUCAUCCGUCGUGUCCUGAGAACGAGGUACGCGACUCCUAUCAGGAUUGUCGACACGUUGGGCGGCCUUGCUGGAUUAGUUUUACCUUUGACGAGAUAUCUUGUGCAUCGGGAUUCCGGUGAUGCUUUGGGUAAUCUCAGAGUUGAGGUUUUCCACUAGGGAAUCCGACGAGAUCGCGAGCUUCGUGAUUGAGGAUUUCUAUGCGGCUUGUGGUAAUUUGUGAUGGACUAGUUGGAGCACCCCUGCAGGGUUAAAUCUUUCAGAAAGCCGUGCCCGCGGUUAUGUGGCAACAUGGAAACUUUGUUUAACACUGGUUCUAGAUAACUUGAAGUUAACUCAAUUAAAACUUGCCAACUGUGUGCGUAACCGUGACUGUCUCCUUCGUGAGUUCUUACUCCGAUCGAGGACAUGGUGGGGUUAUGUCUGACGUAGGUAGGUGUUCAGGAUCAUUCAUUUGAUCAUCGGUAGUUCACGUCCGUUAUGCAUAGAUCAUCCCCCUCUUAUUUCUUGUACUCGUAAGUUUAGCCACCAAAUAUAUGCUUAGCCGCUGCUGCAACCUCACCACUUAACCAUACCUCACCCAUUAAGCUUUGCUAGUCUUGAUACCUUUGGAAAUGAGAUUGCUGAGUCCCCUGUGGCUCACAGAUUACUACAACACCAGUUGCAGGUACAGGUAAAGGUUACUUGACGCGAGCGCGUUGAUUGUUCAUUUGGACUUGCUUCUUCUUCUUCUUCUUCUUCAUCGAUCUAGGAUGGGUUCCAGGCCGGCGGCCUGGGAUAGCAAGGAUGGACGUCGUUCUUUUUUGUCGUUUGUUUUCGUCCGUAGUCGGACCCUGCUCUUACUCUUGAUGUUUAUGUAAUGUACUGGUGUGACUCUGAUGUAGCUUGUGGCGAGUGUAAGCCAACUCUGUAUAUAUCUCUUCUUUUUAGUACAUGUACUUGUAACGAUAUCCAUUCUUGUGACGCGACGAGAUGCGCUUCUAUCCCUGACGAGGCCCUCGUGCCAAAUUUAGGAUAGGGUCACAUCUUGGGCGUGACACAUGACCAUAAAACAUAUCACUCAUAUAAAUAGAACAACCAUUAUUCUCUGACUUAAAUGAGUAGCCGUCUCGCAUUAAGCAAGACCCUGAUAAAAUAUUCAUGCUCAAAGCUGGUACUAAAUAACAAUUAUUAAGGUUUAAAACUAACCCCGACGGUAGAUGUAGAGGUAGCGUGCCGACGGCGAUCACAUCGACCUUGGAGCCAUUCCCGACGUGCAUCGUCACCUCGUCCUUGGCCAGUCUCCGCUUAUUCUGCAGUUCCUGCUUUGAGUUGCAAAUGUGAGUAACAACACCGACAUCAAAUACCCAGGAGCUACUACGAGCACUAGUAAGGUACACAUCAAUAACAUGUAUAUCACAUAUACCUUUAACGUUGUCGGCCUUCUUGUCCGCUAAGUAUUUGGGGCAGUUUCGCUUCCAGUGACCUUUUUCCUUGCAAUAGAAGCACUCAGUCCCAGGCUUGGGUCCAUUCUUUUCUUCUUCCCGGCAUCUAGCUUACCGGGCGCGGCAACAGCUUUGCCAUCUUUCUUGAAGUUCUUUUUACCCUUGUCCUUUUUGAAACUAGUGGUCUUGUUGAUCAUCAACACUUGAUGCUCUUUCUUGAUUUCUACUUCUGCAGACUUGAGCAUCGAGUACAACUCGAGAAUGGUCUUAUCCAUCCCUUGCAUGGUGUAGUUCAGCACAAAGCCUUUGUAGCUUGGUGGGAGAGACUGGAGGAUUCUGUCAAUUAUAACAUCAUCCGGAAGUUCGACUCCAAGUGAAGUCAGACGACCGUGUAACCCAGACAUUUUGAGUAUGUGCUCACUGACCGAACUGUUCUCCUCCAUCUUACAGCUAAAGAACUUGUCGGGGACUUCAUAUCUCUCGACAUGGGCAUGAGCUUGAAAAACUAGUUUCAGCUCUUGGAACAUAUUAUAUGCACCGUGCUGCUCAGAACGCCUUUGGAGCCCCGUUUUCAAACUGUAUAACAUGCCACACCUAACCAGAGAGUAGUCAUCACUCCGCGUUUGCCAUACGUUCAGAAUGUUGUGGGCUGCUGCGGGAGCAGGAGGGUCACCUAGCGGCGCAUCAAGGACAUAAGCCUUUUUAGCUGCUUCAAGGAUGAGCUUCAAGUUGUGAACCCAGUCCGCAUAGUUGCUACCAUCAUCUUUCAGCUUGUUUUUUCUCUAGGAAUGCGUUGAAAUUGAGGUUGACGUUGGCCAUCUAAAAUAUUUAUAAAGACAACUUUUAGAAUAAGUUCAUGACAAUUAAGUUCAUUUAAUCAAACUAAGUAUGAACUCCCACUUAAAUCGACAUCCCUCCAGUCAUCUAAGUGAUACAUGAUCCAUGUUGACUAACCCAUGUCAGAUCAUCAUGUGAGAGGGACUAGUCAUCAUGGUGAGCAACUUCAUGCUGAUCGUAUUCAACCAUAGACUCAUGUUCGACCUUUCGGUCUCUUGUAUUCGAGGUCAUGUAUGUACAUGCUAAGCUCGUCGAGUCAACCUAGGUGUUUCGCGUGUGUAAAUCUGGCUUACACCGUUGUAUGCGAACGUUAGAAUCUAUCACACCCGAUCAUCACAUGGUGCUUCAAGACAACGAUCCUUCGCAACGGUGCACACUCAGGGGAAUACGUUCUCGAAAUUUUAAGAGGGAUCAUCUUAUUAUGCUACCGUCGUUCUAAGCAAUAAGAUGAAAAACAUGAUAAACAUCACAAUGCAAUCAUAUAGUGACAUGAUAUGGCCAUUAUCAUCUUUGCUCUUUCGAUCUCCAUCUUCAGGCAUCACAUGAUCAUCAUUGUCACCAGUGUGACACCAUGAUCUCCAUCAUCAUGAUCUCCAUCAUCGUGUCUUGGUGAAGUCGUCACGCCAACUACUACUAUCACUACUACUAUAGCUAAUCGUUAGCAAUGAAGUAAAAGUAGUAAGCACAUGGCGUUGCAUCUCGUACAAUAAAUUAAGACAACUCCUAUGGUUCCUGCCGGUUGUCAUACUCAUCGACAUGCAAGUCGUGAAACCUGUUACAAUAACAUGAUCAUCUCAUACAUCAUACAUGCAACAUCACAACUUUGGCCAUAUCACAUCACAUGUCAAACCCUGCAAAAACAAGUUAGACGUCCUCUAAUUGUUGUUGCAAGUUUUACAUGGCUGAUUUGGGUUUCUAGCAAGAACGCUUUCUUACCUAUGUGACAGCCACAACGAUGAUAUGCCAAAGCUAUUUACCCUUCAUAAGGACCUUUUUCAUCAAAUUCAAUCCGACUAGAGUAGGAGAGACAGACACCCGCUAGCCACCUUUAUGCACGGUGUGCAUGUCUGUCGGUGGAACCAGUCUCACGUAAGCGUACGUGUAAUGUCGGUCCGGGCCGCUUCAUCCCAUAAUACUGCCGGAAAAGAAUAAGACUAGUAGCGGCAAGAAAUUGACAAAUCAUCGCCCACAACCUUUUGUGUUCUACUCGUGCAUAGAAUCUACGCAUAGAAAACCUGGCUCGGAUGCCACUAUUGGGUAACGUAGCAUAAAUUCAUUUUUUCCCUACGCAUAUUCAGAUCUUCCUAUGGAGAGACCAGCAACGAGAGAGGAGUGAGUGCAUCUUCAUACCUUUGAAGAUCGCUAAACGGAAGCAUUGCUAGAAUGCGGUUGAUGGAGUCGUACUCGCGGCGAUUCAGAUCGCGGUGUGAUUCCGAUCUAGUGCCGAACCACAGCACCUCCGCGUUCAACACACGUGCAUCCCGGAGACGUCUUCCUCGCCUUGAUCCAGCAAGGAGGAGGGAGAGGUUGCGGAAGAUCUCCGGCAGCACGACGGUGUGGUGUCGAUGGAGAGACGAGGUCUCCCGGCAGGGCUUCGCCAAGCACCGUGGGAGAGGAGGAAGAAGGGGGGCAUGGCUGCACCGAGGGAGAGGGAAAACGGUGUGUCCAACAGCCCCAAAAACCCCCACUAUUUAUAGGAGGAGGGGAGGGGGGUGCGCCACCCCUAGGGUUCCCACCCUAGGUGGUGCGGGAGCCCAGAUGUGAGAGGGGGGUGGCGGCGAGGCCACGGAAAGGGGGGGGGCGCCCUAGGUGGGCCUUGGGCCUCCCCUGCGCCUAGGGUUUCCCCUCCCUCCCUCUCUGGUGCACAUGGGCUGGGUGUGGGGGGCGCACCAGCCCACCUAGGGGCUGGUUCCCUCCCGCACUUGGCCCAUGUAGCCCUCCGGGGCUUGUGGCCCCUCCCGGUGGGCCUCCGGAACCCUUCCGGUGGUCCCGACACUUUGCCGGUGGUGCCCGAAACAUUUCCGGCGUCCAAAUCCAUCCAUCCUAUAUAUCAAUAUUUACCUCCGGACCAUUCCGGAGCUCCUCGUGACGUCCGGGAUCUCAUCCGGGACUCCGAACAUCCUUCGGUAACCUCAUAUAACAAUUCCCUAUAACCCUAGCGUCAUCGAACCUUAAGUGUGUAGACCCUACGGGUUCGGGAGACAGGCAGACAUGACCGAGACACCUCUCCGGCCAAUAACCAUCAGGGGGGGUCUGGAUACCCAUGGUGGCUCCCACUUGCUCCACGAUGAUCUCAUCGGAUGAACCACGAUGUCAAGGAUUCAAUCAAUCUCGUAUACAAUUCCCUUUGUCUGUCGGUAUAGAACUUGCCCGAGAUUCGAUCGUCGGUAUACCUAUACCUUGUUCAAUCUCGUUACCGGUAAGUCUCCUUACUCGUUCUGUAGCACGUCAUCGUGUGACUAAAUCCUUAGUCACAUUGAGCUCAUGAUGAUGUUCUACCGAGUGGGCCCAGAGAUACCUCUCCGUCAUGCGGAGUGACAAAUCCCGAUCUCGAUUCGUACCAACCCAACAGACACUUUCAGAGGUACCCGUAGUGCACCUUUAUAGUCACCCAGUUACGUUGUGACGUUUGAUACACCCAAAGCACUCCUACGGUAUCCGGGAGUUGCACAAUCUCACGUCGAAGGAAAAGACACUUGACAUUAGAAAAGCUUUAGCAUACGAACAAUACGAUCUAGUGCUAUGCUGAGGAUUGGGUCUUGUCCAUCACAUCGUUCUCCCAAUGAUGUGACCCAGUUAUCAAUGACAUCUAAUUCCCAUGAUCAGGAAACCAUGAUCAUCUAUUAAUCAAUGAGCUAGCCAACUAGAGGCUUGCUAGGGACACAUUGUGAUCUAUUUAUUCAGACAUGUAUUACUGUUUCCUGUUAAUACAAUUAUAGCAUGAACAAUAGACGAUUAUCAUGAACAAGGAAAUAUGAUAAUAACCAUUUUAUUAUUGCCUCUAGGGCAUAUUUCCAACAGUUUUAUGCUUCACAGCGGCCCGAACCUGGGUAAACGCCCCGAGUCUCAUCAUCGUGCUGCCUUGUGGUUUCUGCUCUUUGUGCCAUGCGAUCUCCCUACCGAACCACGAAGGGGCCUAAGGUCCCAUAGGUGAUCAAGUGCACACCUUCACUAACAAUGGGGAUGCCGACAUGUCUCACGUCUGGUGUUUGUAACAUAUCACGAGGCAACAAGAAUAUCACAUGACAACUACAUGUUCACUCAAAUAUUCAUUCGUGUGGGCAUAGGGAUCAAUAUGGAUGUCCAGGUUCCGCUAUUUAUCAUUGAUUGGAAAGUGCUCCACUCAUGUCUAUGCUCCCCCGAACCUACAGGAUCACACACUUAAGGGUCAUCUAUCUGCUGAGUACUAGAUAGGGAGUUCAUGAGGAAGAAACCGAAAUAGUUUUAGAUUCAACGAAAAAAUGCUUAAGAGCAAAAAAUCGGAGAAGUUUUGGUGAAACCAAAAGUUGUUUCGAAGUAAACAACAAUACAUAAAUGCAGAGCACCUGUGAGGUUCAAGCAACGACUAGACAUUAUAAUUCAGGGUAGAAAAGAUCGAGUUCGUGCUCACAUCCAACAUUAACUAGGCUCAAUGCAUAACAAUGACAAUAGUGCUCUCUGGUCUGGUGCUUUUAGUACGAGGGUGAUGACUCAAUGUACAAGUAAAUAGAUAUGCCCUUCGCAGAGGGAAUCAUUGAUUUGCAGAGGUGCCAGAGCUCAAGUUUGAAAGCAGGAUUGAAAAUAUAGUCUUUGGGUGGUGUGCUUUACUGUUAGUAUUAUGACAAAGGUUUUCAGUAUCUUCCAUGCUAAACUCAUUAUUGGCAGUUCCCAAACAGAAAUGUAAAGUUUACUCCUUUCCACCAUCUACACACAAACCAUGGCUAGCCAAAUUCACGGGUGUGUUCCAACAUAUCAACUGUCCCAAGGAGUGUUGUUUAAUUUAAUUUUGAUUAUGCAAGACCGGACAUCCUUUUUACCAACCUCUCUCGUGCAAUGAUGGUGAAUAAAUAGCCGCCUUGAGAAUAACUUACUUAACAUGGAAGAUACCGACCACCCCAUCGCUAGAGUGGUACGAGUGCACAAAAACAUGUGUUUGUUUGAAUAUUAGAGGUGGCACAUGCAAACUUACUUGGAACGACAGGGUAAUACCGUAUAUAGGUAAGUAUGGUGGGCUCAUGUGGAAUAACUUGGUUUAAGGAUUUUGGAUGCACAAGUAGCAUUCCUGCUUAGUACAUGUGAAGGCUAGCAAUAGAUUGGGAAGCGACCAGGUAGAGAACAAAACGGUCAUAAGCAUGCAUUGUGAAUAAUUAACAUUGGUCAUUAGCAUGAGUAGGAUAUGAACACUCUAAAUUUAAACAUCAUGAAUGCUGCAUUAGUUUUGAAUCAACUACAUGUUUUCACAUGGGCCAAGUUAAGCCGCGCGAAUUACUAAGAGGGAAAUACCAUACUACCAUACUAGAUCAUAACUAUUUUAAUUCAUGUUGACACAUAAGAUAAAUCAUUAUCCACUCCUAGCUAUUUAAGCAUGGCAUUAGAAACUAUAAUCUCUAAUUGCCAUCACAAACAUGUUCACUCAUGGUAUACUGAAGCAAGAUCGAACGAGCCAAAAAAUGUUUACAACAAGGGAAAACAAGAAGAGUUCAUACCAGCUUCCUUUGUCGCGAUCACGUCAUCUAAUAUCAUCAUUAUUGCCUUUCACUUGCAUGAGCGAAUGAUGUGUGAUAAUAGUAAUAGUGUAAGAAUGUCGUAGACUAAGCUGGAAUCUGCAAGGUAUUUGUGCAAAGGAGAAGACAUGGUGAUAUUGGCUCUUUGUUAGAUUAACAAUAAUGCAUAUUAGAGCCUAAUGACCCACAAGUAUAGGGGAUUAAUAAUAGUCCUUUCGAUAAGUAAGAGUGUCGAACCCAACGAGGAGCAGAAGGAAAUGAUAGGUGGUUUUCAACAAGGUAUUUUGUGCAAGUGUUGUAAGUAACAUCGAUAAAUAGUUUUUAGCAAGAUAAUUCGUAACAAGUGACAAGUAACAAUAGUAGAAAAGGUGCAGAAAGGUAGCCCAAUCCUUUUUGUAGCAAAGGAUUGGCCUGAAAGUAUUAUUAUAUAAAGCAAGCGCUCCCGAGGACACAUGAGAAUUUCUGUCUAGUCAUGUUCAUCAUAUUGAGUUGAGUCCUGUUCGCUACUUUGAUAAUUUGAUAUGUGGGUGGAUCGAUGCUAAUGUGUUGUUCUUACUUGAACAAACAACUAACUUAUGAUUACCCUCUCCCGCAUGCAUCCGCAACUACGAAAGAAGAAUUAAUAUAAAUCGAACCAUAGCAUUAAACGUGUGGAUCCAGAUCAGCCCCUCAUGAAGCAACACAUAAACUAGGGUUUAAGCUUCUGUCCCUCUCGCAACCCAUCAUCCACUUGUUACUCCACAAUGACUUCCCUUAGGCCCAUAACAUGGUGAAGUGUCAUGUAGUCGAUGCUCACAGGACAACACUAAGAGAAGUAACACCAUACAUAUCAUCAAAAUAUCGAACGAAUACCAACUUUAUAUGAUUGCUUAUAACAAGACUUCUGCCAUGUCCUCGGGAACAAUAGUUACUACUCACACCUCAUCAACAUGUUCANNNNNNNNNNNNNNNNNNNNNNNNNNNNNNNNNNNNNNNNNNNNNNNNNNNNNNNNNNNNNNNNNNNNNNNNNNNNNNNNNNNNNNNNNNNNNNNNNNNNUCAUAACUUUUAUGACAAUUAUAAAAAUGCCGUAACAUGUUCUAACUAUGUUGACAUGUCACUCGUGGGUCCAUUAUAAAAAAUCUUUUGACAACAAACCAUUUGGUCAAUUGUAUAUUUAAUAAGACAUAAAAUUUUAGAAAAAUGAUUUGGUCCAAUUUUGCAAUAAAUAUUUGGUAGGUCCUUCACAAAAAAAACUCACUUUAGGCACUCGAAAAAUAUAAAAUGGAUUUUUCGUGCAAAAAAAUGAAAAGUCCCUUUGACAACAUUAUUUGUAAUUCCAAGAUGCAAGCUUGUAUACUUUAAGAGAUCAUAUUUGGAUUUUAUCAUGUGAAAAAGUAGAAGCACCGACGACCUCGAAUCUCAGGCAAGUUCUAUACCGACAGACAAAGGGAAUUGUAUACGGGAUUGAUUGAAUCCUUGACAUCGUGGUUCAUCCGAUGAGAUCAUCGUGGAGCAAGUGGGAGCCACCAUGGGUAUCCAGACCCCGCUGAUGGUUAUUGGCCGGAGAGGUGUCUCGGUCAUGUCUGCCUGUCUCCCGAACCCGUAGGGUCUACACACUUAAGGUUCGAUGAUGCUAGGAUUAUAGGGNNNNNNNNNNNNNNNNNNNNNNNNNNNNNNNNNNNNNNNNNNNNNNNNNNNNNNNNNNNNNNNNNNNNNNNNNNNNNNNNNNNNNNNNNNNNNNNNNNNNCAAGGAAUAUGCUAAUACACGACGCUAUUUUUUCGUCGCUACAUCAUCACGGUUUUUAAUUUAUGACGAUCUCACGACGAAAAACCAAGCGGCAAAAACGGAGCGUCACAAAUGAACAGCAGCGACGUUUUGAUCAAAACCGUCGUAACUUUUUACGACGAUUCCUGGAUUGUCGUAACCUUUACGACGAUCCUAAAUCGUCGUUGGCAAUCAAACUCAGUCCUACGUGGCAAAAUUAUGACGAAAUCAAAAACGUCAUGGUUGAAAUCAGCCCAACCCAUUUCAAUUGAUCACAUGGGCUGUUUUUAUUUUUUGGGUUUUUCUUAUUGGGCUUCUUUUGGGGCCUUAGCCUAUUUACAACCAUUUUUAGUAUUUUUUUUAAUUUUGGUUUGUGGCCUUUUUACUUUCUAUUGAUUUUAUUUUUUGGCCAUUUUAUUUUUGUACUGGUCCCACAUGUCAUGUUGAUCUCAAAAUUAGUCCCACACGUCAGAAAUUUCACAUUUUAUCAAAUAAAUAUCGUAACUUGGUCCCCUUGUCAAGUUGCCAUUUCAUAGGUAUUCAAAUCACAUUCAGAAUCAAUAUUUCAAACAGGCUAGGGAGCAAAUAAAAUUCGUCCAAACCAACAUUAAAUUUGUCUAUUACAAUCUUUACACUACACCACAACCCAGAUAUACCUACUACUGCCAACUAUNNNNNNNNNNNNNNNNNNNNNNNNNNNNNNNNNNNNNNNNNNNNNNNNNNNNNNNNNNNNNNNNNNNNNNNNNNNNNNNNNNNNNNNNNNNNNNNNNNNNAUUUUGCCACUUGGUGGAGUAAUUCUAAUGCCUUUUCUCUCAUAAUAUACAAGGUUUACAUCAAGUGGGAGAAUGCCAGCAAAUGGAAUUCUGGACAUAAAAAGGACAGAUACCUAUUGUGCACAUCUCCAAUUGGGUUGAAAAUUUCAGGAUAUUUAUUUUAUAAUAAAUUAAAAAUACUGGGAUGAAGAAGUGCAGGAGGGGUCCACCAUGCGGCCACUAGACACUAGGGCGCCUGAUGUCUAGGGGGCCACCUGGCCCACCUCUAGCGCCCAUAUUCUCGUAUAUAUUCUUCUUCGACAUAAAAAAUAAGGAGAGGACUUUCGGGAUGAAGCGCCGCCAUCUCAAGGCGGAACCUGGGCAGGAGCACUUUUGCCCUCCCACGGAGCGAACUUCCCUCCCAGAGGGAGAAAUCGAGGCCAUCAUCAUCACCAAAAACCCUCUCAUCUUAGGGAGUCCAACCUUCAUCAACAUGUUCAUCGACAUCAUCUCCUCUCAACACCCUAGUUCAUCUCUUGUACUCAAUCUUGUACCGGAACCUCAGAUUGGUACGUGGGAUGUGUCUAGNNNNNNNNNNNNNNNNNNNNNNNNNNNNNNNNNNNNNNNNNNNNNNNNNNNNNNNNNNNNNNNNNNNNNNNNNNNNNNNNNNNNNNNNNNNNNNNNNNNNAUCAAUCUUGAAUACUUUAUAUGCAUUUAUAUGGUAUUUUAUAUCAGUUUUUGGGACUAACCUAUUAACCAAGUGCCCGGUGCUAGUUCCUAUUUUUUCUAUGUUUUUGUCUUCUUCAGAAAAAUCAAUACCAAACAAUCCCAAACACGAUGAAACUUUAUGGAGGUUAUUUUUGUACAUAAAAAGAACCUACAAGAUUCGAGGAGAGAACAAAUGAGCCACGAGGGAGCCACGAGCUUGCAUGGUGUGCCUUGGGGGGUAGGCCCGCCGAGCAGGCUCGUGACUCCCUCGCAACGCUUUUUCUCCUAAUUGCACUUAUAUAUAUUCCCAUGUACCCCAAACCAACAAAGAGACACCCAAAAUACUUUUUCCGCUGCCGCAAGCCUCUGUUCUUCAGUGAUCCCAUCUGGAGUCCUUUUUGGUAAUCUGCCGGAGGGGAAUCGAUCACGGAGGUCGUCUACAUUGACCUUGUCGCCUCCAUGAUGAUGCGUGAGUAGUUCAAUACAGACCUACAGUUUCAUAGCUAGUAGCUAGAUGGCUUCUUCUCUCUCGUUGAUCUUCAAUACCAUGUUCUCCUCGAUCUUCUUGGAGUUCUAACUGAUGUAAUCUUGCUUUGCGAUGUGUUUUUGGGAUCCGAUGAAUUAUUGGUUUAUGAGUAGAUUAUUCAUUGAAAGUAAUUGCACCUUUUCUAAACUUUAUUGUGCAUNNNNNNNNNNNNNNNNNNNNNNNNNNNNNNNNNNNNNNNNNNNNNNNNNNNNNNNNNNNNNNNNNNNNNNNNNNNNNNNNNNNNNNNNNNNNNNNNNNNNAACUUGAGAGCAAGCAAACAACACCUAAACAUGCAUUUCUAUUGCAACUAAAAAUACCAGGGGCUAAACAAAACACCCAAGAUCAACUCCCUAGUUGACAACUAAUUCAAACGACCCGGNACGGAAUAAAUCCUACGAAUUAAACAAAAGGGCAUCACGGCAAAAUAUCUCGCGAACUAACUUCCUCAAAAAGCUAAAACUAAUUGCACAGAAAAAUCCAUGGGAUUUUUCUACCCCGGAAACAUAUAAAAUAUGUGGGGUUUUGCCAACACAAAAUAAUGCCACACAAUAACGCGGGAGAAAUAAACCUAGACACGAAAAAUAAUCUAACGGGCAAUCCCUACACGCAAAAUUACACUUGACCGCUCUAAAAUGCAUGGCAAAUAGCUCCCUAGAGCAUGGACAUUUACUCUACGUCAUACGAACAACCCGGACACGCGCGGAAAAUAACCAUGGAUCGGAUCCUAUUGUAACAGCACGCAAAACAAAGCAUUAGGCACCCUAAACGGCGUCAAAACAAUUACGCAAGUUGGAUAAACGUGUUCUACUCGUGAAGCUACCCCAAAACGAUAUAUAACACGUCUCGAACCGGCUUACGGUUUAAAAGUUACGGGGGUUUAAAUAAAUAGCUAAAUCCUGAAAUUAACUAAACCGAAAAAGAAAAAAACUAAAAUCUCUAACGGGCCGAAUCUGGUGGCGCAACAUAUCUAACGCGCACCUAGGCAAGGAGUUCUCACCUAGCGGGCUCAGCCCAUGAAGGGGAGACGGUAGCAGGCCGAGGGCGGCCAACUGGGCCUGGCCGGUGGCUCGGCUUGCUCGGCCAGGGGCGCUUGGAGGUGGGCCGGGGCGAGCGGUGCCAGCUGGGCCGGCUCGGCAGGAGGCCCACGCGCGGGCAGAGGAGGCGCUCCCGUCUCCACUCUCGAUCCCGAGCGGCGGCGCGAUGGCUCCUGCCGUGGCGGCCGGCGAGGGGGGACCNNNNNNNNNNNNNNNNNNNNNNNNNNNNNNNNNNNNNNNNNNNNNNNNNNNNNNNNNNNNNNNNNNNNNNNNNNNNNNNNNNNNNNNNNNNNNNNNNNNNAACGAACCCGACCGAUUUUUCAACUAUGUUCACCUUUAUAUUUUUGAUUGUACAUGAAGAACCAACUAUUUCUAUACGAUUAUCAGUUAGAUUAUGUUGUGUUGUCUCGGUAUCUCGGUGGUGCUCAAAAGAGGUGUACGAGUCUUGUACCGUGCCAAUCUUCUUGAAAGAGAAAAAAGAAGCAAUUCCAAAUUGAGUAACGGAAUUCUUUUCUCACUCCAAUUAAAAAGCACAAAAAUAUAUAUUAAAAGAUGAAGCAAAUUAAAAAAAGGAAAAGAAACACACGCUUCCCCGGUUGUCUUCGUCUCCUUUUCCCCAGCGCACCGCACCGCGUCUCCGUUCCUCUUUCUCCUCCUCCUCCUCCUCCUCCUCAUCUUCCCACCUCCUUCGUCAAACCCCAGGGCCAAGCAACCGCCGCCGCCGCCCCCGCCGAAUCCGCGGCCCCCGACCCCGCCCCGCGCGCCCCCGGCCCGCCCCCCGCGCCGAUCCGCCGGAAUCCGCCGCAAAGGCGGCGCCUUUCCGGCUCUCCCCCGAUGUACAGCAACUUCAAGGAGCAGGCGAUCGAGUACGUGAAGCAGGCCGUCCAGGAGGACAAUGCCGGCAACUACGUCAAGGCGUUCCCGCUCUACAUGAACGCGCUCGAGUACUUCNNNNNNNNNNNNNNNNNNNNNNNNNNNNNNNNNNNNNNNNNNNNNNNNNNNNNNNNNNNNNNNNNNNNNNNNNNNNNNNNNNNNNNNNNNNNNNNNNNNNCGUAGCAUGUUGAUCGUGUCAUUUUUGUUGCUACUGUUUUCUGCGUGUCAAGUAUUUGUUCCUAUGACCAUCAAAUCAUAUAACUCACUGACACCGGAGGAAUGAUUUGUGUGUAUCAAACGUCGCAACAUAACUGGGUGACUAUAGAGAUGCUCUACAGGUAUCUCCGAAGGUGUUCGUUGAGUUAGUAUGGAUCGAGACUGGGAUUUGUCACUCCGUGUGACGGACAGGUAUCUCGGGGCCCACUCGGUAAUACAACAUCACACACAAGCCUUGCAAGCAAUGUGACUUAGUGUAAGUUGCGGGAUCUUGUAUUACAGAACGAGUAAAGAGACUUGCCGGUAAACGAGAUUGAAAUAGGUACGCGGAUACUGACAAUCGAAUCUCGGGCAAGUAACAUACCGAAGGACAAAGGGAAUGACAUACGGGAUUAUAUGAAUCCUUCGCACUAAGGUUCAAACGAUAAGAUCUUCGUAGAAUAUGUAUGAUCCAAUAUGGGCAUCCAGGUCCCGCUAUUGGAUAUUGACCGAGGAGUCACUCGGGUCAUGUCUACAUAGUUCUCGAACCCGCAGGGUCUGCACACUUAAGGUUCGACGUUGUUUUAUGCGUAUUUGAGUUAUAUGGUUGGUUACCGAAUGUUGUUCGGAGUCCCGAAUGAGAUCACAGAUGUCACGAGGGUUUCCGGAAUGGUCCGAAAACGAAGAUUGAUAUAUAGGAUGACCUCAUUUGAUUACCGGAAGGUUNNNNNNNNNNGAUGAGAUCACAGACGUCACGAGGGUUUCCAGAAUGGUCCGGAAACGAAGAUUGAUAUAUAGGAUGACCUCAUUUGAUUACCGGAAGGUUUUCGGAGUUCACCGGGGGGGGGCAGCCCACCCCGGGGAAGCCCAUAGGCCUUGGGGGUGGCACACCAGCCCUUGGUGGGCUGGUGGGACAACCCAAGAAGGCCCUAUGCGCCAUAGAUAGAAAAUCAAAGAGAAAAGAAAAAAAGGAGGUGGGAAGGAAGAGAAGGACUCCACCUUCCAAUCCUUGUUGGACUAGGAUUGGAGGAGGACUCCUCCUCCCCUUAGUGCGCAGCCCUUGGGGCUCCUUGAGCCUCAAGGAAAGCCUCCCCUCCCUCCUCCUAUAUAUAUGGAGCUAUUAGGGCUGAUUNNNNNNNNNNNNNNNNNNNNNNNNNNNNNNNNNNNNNNNNNNNNNNNNNNNNNNNNNNNNNNNNNNNNNNNNNNNNNNNNNNNNNNNNNNNNNNNNNNNNGUCGUAGCCCUCUCAACUUUUUAAAACAUGCUAUGUGGGUGAAAUGAUGAUAGCAUGCCAACUUUCAACAUUUUCAGAGUUCAUUUGUAGUGCUUUUCAAUUUCAGGGUCAACUAGCCCAAAAAAACAAAAGUAAAUGCACGAAGAAUACCAAAUUAAGUCGGAAAUUGUUGAAAUUUUGUGAUGUGCCUUUGAAUGGUGCAUUUUAAACACACAAAAAGUAUGGAGUUCAAAUAAGUUCAAAAAAAUGAAAUCCNNNNNNNNNNGAAAAUACGAAAUGAAGUCAGAAAUUGUUGAAAUUUUGCGAUGUGCCUUUGAAUGGUGCAUUUUGAACACACAAAAAGUAUGGAGUUCAAAUAAGUUCAAAAAAAUGAAAUCCCUUUGUAAGAGAUGAGUUCUCGUUCGAAACCCUCAUACUUCGAGAGAGAUUGUCCGUUUUGUACACGAAGUGCAUCCAGUUUUUCUCGUAGCCCUCUCAACUUUUUAACACAUGCUAUGUGGGUGAAAUGAUGAUAGAAUGCCAACUUUCAACAUUUUCAGAGUUCAUUUGUAGUGCUUUUCAAUUUUAGGGUCAACUAGCUCAAAAAAAUAAGUAAAUGCACGAAAAAUACCAAAUGAAGUCAGAAAUUAUUGAAAUUUUGUGAUGUGUCUUUGAAUGGUGCAUUUUGAACACACAAAAAGUAUGGAGUUCAAAUAAGUUCAAAAAAAAUGAAAUCCCUUUGUAACAGAUGAGUUCUCGUUCGAAACCAUGAUACUUUGAGAGAGAUUGUUUGUUUUGUACACGAAAUGCAUCCAGUUUUUGUCGUAGCCCUCUCCACUUUUUAGCACAUGCUAUGUGUGUGAAAUGAUGAUACCAUGCCAACUUUCAACAUUUUCAGAGUUCAUUUGUAGUGCUUUUCAAUUUUAGGGUCAACUAGCUCAAAUAAAUAAGUAAAUGCACGAAAAAAUACCAAAUGAAGUCAGAAAUUGUUGAAAUUUUGUGAUGUGCCUUUGAAUGGUGCAUUUUGAACACACAAAAAGUAUGGAGUUCAAAUAAGUUCAAAAAAAUGAAAUCCCUUUGUAAGAGAUGAGUUCUCGUUCGAAACCGUGAUACUUCGAGAGAGAUUGUCCGUUUUGUACACGAAGUGCAUCGAGUUUUUGUCGUAGCCCUCUCAACUUUUUAACACAUGCUAUGUGACAGCCCGAGACCGACGCCCAGAAGAUUUCCCCUUUAUUCCGUUUCCGUCCUGUGGCUAUUUUAUUUUUGUUGGUUGCAUCGUCAUGUAGUUUGCAUCAUCGCAUCAUGCAUGGCAUCAUGUCAUCUGUGCUUGUCUGGUGUGGCUAGUUGCACCUCGUUGUUUGAGUGUGAGCGCAUGUGUGUAUGUGCCUUAGGGCCUUGCAACGUGAUUGGGUGCAACAAGUUCAAGCUCGUAACCGUGUUGCACCGCGGAUUCUAAAACCUUAUCACCCCUCUUUUAUUUGUUUUGCGGUUUGCUAAAGUUUCCAUUUUAACCCCGUCAAAAGAUUCGUCUUCUUUUAAAAAAUCCUUUUAUUAAAUGUGGGUGCAACCCUUGGGUUUUCUUUAUUUUUCUCCUUUGGUUUUAUUUUAAAUCCGUCUCAUUUUCUUUUCCUCUUUAAAGAGCUUUAUUUUAAUCUUAAAUAAAAGAGGUUGUAUUUUGUUCUCCUGUCAAAAGGAGUUUGAUUUUUAUUCUUUUGUAAACGGGUUUUAAUUUUAAUUCUUCAAAAAAGGGUUUUAUUUUAUUUCUUAAAAAGGUUUCAUUUUUAUUUGUUUAAAGAGCCCAAUCUAUUUUUAUAGUUGGAGCAUGUUUUAAGGAGCCCAAAAGUAUUUUUGUUUUAGUUAAAUUCCUUUUCUUUUGGUUGUGGUUUCCUUUUUUUUAACCGGCUAUUUUAUUUUUUUGUGCACGACAUUUUUUCUUUUAGAAGGAGAGGACCCAGACCAAGGCCCAGCCGGCCAAGGCGCAGGCCCCCUCCAACCCUAGCGUCGUGCUGCGCCUCUCCCUCGUCACCCAGAGCGCCGUCUCCUCCCGAUUCUCCUCUCCUCGUCCCCCGCGCCGCCCUAGCCUCCAGUCCCCGUGCUCGCUCGCCUCCCUUGCGCCGCCGCCGUGCCAGCUCCUCUCGGCGCCUUCCGCUCGUCCUCGCCCCUCCCUCCUGCUGCCUGGCCGCUUCGAUGAGUGCCCUCACCGCCGGCGACCCUCGCGACCUCCGCCAGGGUUCCCCUCGCCGCGCCGCCGUGGGGCCUCGCCGGACCGAGCCGCGCACCCCCAUCGCGCCCAGGUCCCGCGCCGGCCCGAGGUCGUCCCUGCCGUAGCACCUUCAGCGCCGCCCCGUGCCUUCCCUGGCGACACCGGGCUCCUCUCAGCCUUCUCGGCUCCUCCCGAUGUACCGCGCCCUUGGCCUCCCGCGCCGCCCUACGCUCCAUGGAGCUCCUCCAUGCUGCUGUUGCCGAUGUGUGAUGCGGGCUCCCGUUGUUUGCUGUUGCUGUUGGCUGUGCCGUGCUAGCUGCCGCUGUUGUAGCCUGUUGCUGCCGGUUAUUCCUGUUGUCGUGGCUGUUUUUGCCUUUGUUGUUGCCGGUUCGCUGCAGGCAAGCUAGCUGCUGCUACAGUUGUUGUUGCGUUUGCUGAUGCUUGUGCUGGUUCCUGCUGCCGCUGUUGCUGCGUUUGCUGUUGCCGAGCCUGCAUUUGUGUCGUUCUGGUGUUUGCUGCUUGUCGCCAUGCCAUGUUGUCCGCCUUGCUGUAUGCUGCUGUUGUCGUGCUUGCUUAGCCGCUGUAGUUGCUAGACUGCUUGCCUACCGAUGCGUGUUGCUGAUGCUAGUUGAUAUGCUGUUGCUUGCCCGCUUGCUGCUAUUGUUUGCUGCUGCCCAUGAUGCUGCUUGCGCUUGCUGUUGCCGAGUUUGCCUGAUAUGGUGGCUAGCCUGCCUUGCUGUUAGAUGCAUGCUAGGCUAGUUGUUGUAGUUGCUGCUAGCUUGGCUUAGUUGCUGCUCUUGUUGCUUGCCCGCCUGAUGCUGCUGCUAGCUGCUGCUUGCGGGUUGCGUGCUUUCGCUAGCCGUGUUGCUGCCGCUUGCCGUCGUCGCGUAGACCAUCCCUGCCAUUGUGGAAUCAACAAGUUCACGAGAUCCACGACGUCCUCGACGACCCCGAACAUCAAUGGAGACGUGAUCGACUACCGACGCCGAAGACCCGAGAACCAUGACGCCGAGCGAACGACUACCGUCGACGAGACCGUGUGUGUGCGUCAUGUUGUGCGUCGGUGGUGAAUAUCUGUGUUGAUGUUUGUUUCCGGUUUGUUCCGUCUCGAUAGAGUUCCGCAAGCGUGUCAGAAUGUGAGGGGCCGUUCGACUACGUUGGUUCGCCGACUUCACGGAGUUGUUCUUCUUCCAAGCGGGAUAUCAGGCAAGAUGACCAUUCCCCAUAUACCAUUACUAUCAUUGCCAUGCUAGUUUAUCACUUCUAUCGUUUAUGUCUCGUUGCCUACCACCUGUUAAAUUAAGCCUCUGAACAAUGCCAUGAUAAACUUCAACCUGUUCAACCUAGCAACCCACUGAUUGGCUAUGAUACCGCUUGCUUAACCCUGUUGUUAGCGUUGCUAGUUGCAGGUGCAGAUGCUUCCAUGCAAAAGCAUGGGUUCCUUGUUAUAUUACCGUAUUAAUGCUAAUUAAUUUAAUGGACCUAUAUACUUGGUAAAAGCUGGAAGUCUCGGCCUUUCUAGCCUGGUGUUUUGUUCCACCUUUGCCCCCUUAGUUUCCGACUACCGGUGUUCUGUUCCAUAAAUGAGCGCUCCUAACACGAUCGGGGUUGUUAUGGGGACCCCCUUGAUAAUUCGUUUUAGAUUAAGACUGGUCUGGCAAGGCCCAACUUUGGUACUACAUUUGCCUAAUAACCUAAUAAUAAUGCAUAGGGACCUGCCGGCACCCGAGGAUAAUUUAAUCAACCCCCGGGCCAGUGCUCCUCAUGAGUGUUGGUCCAAAACAGAGCAGCUUAUUAACGCUACCCGGGGCAACUCGGCGUUUGGCGUGGUAACCAUCGCUCAUNNNNNNNNNNNNNNNNNNNNNNNNNNNNNNNNNNNNNNNNNNNNNNNNNNNNNNNNNNNNNNNNNNNNNNNNNNNNNNNNNNNNNNNNNNNNNNNNNNNNUGUGUUCUACUCGUGCAUAGAAUCUACGCAUAGAAAACCUGGCUCUGAUACCACUGUUGGGUAACGUAGCAUAAAUUCAAAAUUUUCCUACGCAUAUUCAGAUCUUCCUAUGGAGAGACCAGCAACGAGAGAGGGGUAAGAGCAUCUUCAUACCUUUGAAGAUCGCUAAGCAGAAGCGUUGCUAGAACGUGGUUGAUGGAGUCGUACUCGCAACGAUUCCGAUCUAGUGCCGAACUACGGCACCUCCGCGUUCAACACACGUGCAGCCCGGUGACGUCUCCCACACCUUGAUCCAGCAAGGAGGAGGGAGAGGUUGGGGAAGAACUCCAGCAGCACGACAGCGUGGUGUCGAUGGAGAGACGAGGUCUCCCGGCAGGGCUUCGCCAAGCACCGGCAGAGAGGACCAGAAAGAAGAGCAGGGCUGCGCCGAGGGAGAGGGAAAAGUCUGUCUCUCAAUGGCCAAAAGUGCCCGAUAUAUAUAGGGGGAGGGGAGAGGGGGUGCCACCCCUAGGUUUCCCACCCUAGGGGGUGCGGCAGCCCCCCUAGAUGGGAGGUGCGGCGGCCAGAGGGGGGAGGUGGGGGUGGCGCACCAUCUGGUGGGCCUUAGGCACACCUGGCUUAGGGUUUGCCCCCCUUUUUCUCUCCCCUGCGCAUUGGGCUGAGUGGGGAGGCGCACCAGCCCACAUAGGGGGUGGUUCCACCCCCACUUGGCCCACGUUACCUUCCGGGGUCGUUGGCCCCCUUCGGUAGUCCCCCUGGGCCACCUCCGGUGGUCCCGGUACGUUACCGGUGAUGCCCGAAACACUUCCGGUGUCCGAAACCAUCCGUCCUAUAUAUNNNNNNNNNNNNNNNNNNNNNNNNNNNNNNNNNNNNNNNNNNNNNNNNNNNNNNNNNNNNNNNNNNNNNNNNNNNNNNNNNNNNNNNNNNNNNNNNNNNNCCCUCAAUGCAACCGGAAGGAGUUGCGUCAUAAUCACAUGACAGUCAUGAGACUUUAGGUUCUUGAAUUUUUCUCUAUCAUAUUUAUUAUUCCCUUUAUAUUCGAUGAGAAGCCAGACGGGACCUUGAUACUGAGAAGACAUUCAAAAAAGAUUUCCUUCUCUGCUUUGCUAAGAACGUACACUACAAGGAAUAUGCUAAUACACGACGCUAUUUUUCGUCGCUACAUCAUCACGGUUUUUAAUUAUGACGAUCUCACGACGAAAAACCAAGCGGCAAAAACGGAGCGUCACAAAUGAACAGCAGCGACGUUUUGAUCAAAACCGUCGUAACUUUUACGACGAUUCCUGGAUUGUCGUAACCUUUACGACGAUCCUAAAUCGUCGUUGGCAAUCAAACUCAGUCCUACGUGGCAAAAUUAUGACGAAAUCAAAACGUCAUGGUUGAAAUCAGCCCAACCCAUUUCAAUUGAUCACAUGGGCUGUUUUAUUUUGGGUUUUCUUAUUGGGCUUCUUUUGGGGCCUUAGCCUAUUUACAACCAUUUUAGUAUUUUAAUUUGGUUUGUGGCCUUUACUUUCUAUUGAUUUNNNNNNNNNNNNNNNNNNNNNNNNNNNNNNNNNNNNNNNNNNNNNNNNNNNNNNNNNNNNNNNNNNNNNNNNNNNNNNNNNNNNNNNNNNNNNNNNNNNNAAACAGUAUCAAGGUCCUGCCAACUACGUUCUUACCAAAGCAGAGAAGGAAAUCUUUUGAAUGUCUGCUCAGUAUCAAGGUCACUACAAGAAAUAUGCUCAUACAUGACGUUUUUAAGAUGUCGUUGAUGAAUUCGUCAUAAAUCUAUGACGAUUUCAUCCGAGAUUGUCGUAAGCCGUUUGAGGGGAUCAAAUCUACAUAUAAAUUACAACGACGUGAGUUAAAAACGUCAUCACAACAUAAGAUGAGAUCGUCAUAACUUUUAUGACAAUUAUAAAAAUGCCGUAACAUGUUCUAACUAUGUUGACAUGUCACUCGUGGGUCCAUUAUAAAAAUCUUUUGACAACAAACCAUUUGGUCAAUUGUAUAUUUAAUAAGACAUAAAAUUUUAGAAAAAUGAUUUGGUCCAAUUUUGCAAUAAAUAUUUGGUAGGUCCUUCACAAAAAACUCACUUUAGGCACUCGAAAAUAUAAAAUGGAUUUUCGUGCAAAAAUGAAAAGUCCNNNNNNNNNNNNNNNNNNNNNNNNNNNNNNNNNNNNNNNNNNNNNNNNNNNNNNNNNNNNNNNNNNNNNNNNNNNNNNNNNNNNNNNNNNNNNNNNNNNNAUCAGGCUCUAUGAUCUCAAUCUCCUGGCCUGGCAGAGUAUUUUUCUCAUGCAAAAUUGCAUAGUUGUACAAUCUGUAGCUGUUUUGCAACAUGCGUUGGUCAUCUUAAAACGAUGCUACCUGAUGCAUAUCAUGAUUUUCAGACCUUGGAUCAAUCUACUCUUUAGGUGUACUUCAGAUUCUUGUCUUAAUUUUUGUAUUUGAGAUGAAUCAGUGCUUUCAUGUUCCACUAAUUCUUAGCUGGUCGUUAGGGUCCGAACAUGUUUUUAGUUUAUACUUGGUGCCACUGGAAGCAGACAACCUACUUUUCUUGUAUAUGAACAAAUUUCUUGUAUAUUUUAACUAUUGCAGACAGUAGUCGAUGCAAUUUUAGCUUUUGAAGUCGACCUCGUCUGCACUUGAACAACCUACUAUUUUUGUAUAUGACAACCUGUAGUGUUAGUUCACACUUUUGUAAAUGCUGUUAUUUAAAUACCUAAAGUGUUAGUUCACAUCUUAUUCUUAUUUUGCACAGGAGAAGUACAAAGCCAAGUGUGAAGCUACGAAGCGUAUNNNNNNNNNNNNNNNNNNNNNNNNNNNNNNNNNNNNNNNNNNNNNNNNNNNNNNNNNNNNNNNNNNNNNNNNNNNNNNNNNNNNNNNNNNNNNNNNNNNNAUGUUCACUUUUUGUUCGAUUGAAUUGGCAUUGUUCGUUUCAUUUUAUAAAUGGGUUGGGCGUGCGCUCAACGGGAUGACCCAAAUCUCGCCCUCGAGACCAGUCAGCAUCCAUUUUAAUCACACUCCGUUUCGGAUUUGAACGUUAUUUCUGUUUCAUCAAAUGCAUUUCAAUAUAUGUAUUUUUAUCAAUUAUUCACUACGAAUAUAAGACCAAAGAAACAAGAACCAUAAUUAGACAUUUUAAAAGAUGUCCAACUUUCAUAACUGCUCCUACUAGUUGGAUUAAGAUCUUCUCUAUGUUUUGUUGUUGAUCUGUGGAUUCUUGAGCUUAACAACGACUUUCUUCUUUGAUACUAAAAAUUGGACGUUGCUUCCCAUUUGGUCUCUUCUUUAGUCUCAUCUAUACCUUUAAUUCUAGAAAAUUGCAUGAGCAUCUAGCAAAUUUCGUGAGAUCAAUAGGUCGAUGUAUUCUUCUUCCCAAUACCAAAAUUGUAUCCAUCCUACACAAAAUAUUCAGCAAAUAAUAAGCUAUCGAAAUUGCAUCGAAUCAUCAAAGAGAAAAAGGUCGAACGAAAAUCAUACCCCGUGUUUGUGCACUUCACGAACACCCAACCGGGAUGUUUCGGCGUCCAAGAAACGCGUCGGACGACGUGCAGUNNNNNNNNNNNNNNNNNNNNNNNNNNNNNNNNNNNNNNNNNNNNNNNNNNNNNNNNNNNNNNNNNNNNNNNNNNNNNNNNNNNNNNNNNNNNNNNNNNNNUCGGUGUUGCUUAAUCUGAAAUAUGACAACAAAGGGACAAAGCAUACAUGUUGUAUAUGUAUAUGUCCAUCCUWUUUACUUACCUUGUUUUUUGCACAUAUGAUACACGUAUACAUGAGUAACUUUACAUAUGUUAUGAAAUAUAAAGCCAAAAUAUUAUCACAAGAAGUAGAAGGUAUGAAAAUAUUGCAAAUCAGUUUGCACAUAUAAGUCAAGUCCUUAUUCAUAUCAAAAUAUUGACAAUUUUCAUCAUCAAACCAUUCUAACAUUGAUGAAUAUAAUUUCAUUGUUUCAAAUUUACAAACUAGAACAUGCUUAAAUAAACAAACAUGCAAAAGUCAUUUGACAUAGAAUCAUGACAAAUAUUAGAGGUCAUAUCAAAAUGAUUAAACAUUGACACAAUUAUUUUAAAUAUUUGACGCAAAUUUGAUUUAUUCUCUGAUUCACAUGGUUCUUGCUCAUCAACAGUUAAUUCAAUGGGUUCACUUAACAUUUUGAUAUUGUAGUUAUUUGAUCACAUGGCAUAGUAAAAUCAUGAAUAUAGUCCUCUAAAAUAUACGGUGUGACCAAAGUAAUGGGUAGCUCAUCACAUGNNNNNNNNNNNNNNNNNNNNNNNNNNNNNNNNNNNNNNNNNNNNNNNNNNNNNNNNNNNNNNNNNNNNNNNNNNNNNNNNNNNNNNNNNNNNNNNNNNNNUUUGUAGUCGGGCUAAACACAGCUCAUCUGGUAAUGUUUAUGAAGUACAAGACCUCAAAUCUGAAGUUAUUAUCUUACUAUGCAAAUUGACGGCAAAAUUAUUUGUUCAAUGAAUAGCUCAUUUGACCUAUCAAUUAUUACAGGACUAUAUUUUGUUCUCACAAAUUUCAUUUCAAUGCACAUAACAAAUGGAAGCAGAUUACAAUAACAUCCAUUGGAAUGAUAAUAUGCUAAUACCAUGUCUACUGCAUUGUUUUCUAAAAAAUAUGCAUGUAGACAGCACAAGUUCCCAAUUUCAGCCAGUGGGUUUAGCACAUGAAAAGCAACACUAUCGUACUCUACGGUAUGCACAUGAAAAGCAACACUAAAACCAAGUGUAACUUGUUAACACUGCUAUCUUAGGACACACCUUACAACAG